UAACUUCACUAUCCACUUUCUCCAACUUACACAAAUAUAUGUAAAUAGAGAGGAUUGUUUCACCACAAAUAUUAUUAGUUUUGCAAAGGUGAAAAGAAAAUUAUAUUUACUCAAACUUAGAUUAAAAUUAAAGAAACUAUAAUGUAUUAGCAAAAUGAAAACUGAUUACUACUUCUAGUCUAAGCAAAUGAAAAUGAACUACUACUCCAAAAUAAUAAAAACUUAGAUACAAUUUAAUUAAAGUCUCUAAAAGUAAAUUUAGCUAACCAACUCCCACCAACUUAAUGACAAGUCAAGUACUAAACAUUAUUUUAACUAAUCAUCAACCAAAUCUCUUCAUCUUCACCCUUCAACACAGUGCAAAAUCAGCUUUUAAUAUCCAGUGGGAUAUUCACAGUCACCAUAUUCUGCACAAAAAAUCACACUCAUAAAUAUAUGAUAUUUGAACUUAAAUUAAGGCUUUAAAAUAAAAAAUAAAGUACAUUUAGAAUCCAAUGUUUCACAUUACCCAAUCUUUGACUAAUUGACUCUUUCACAACAAAUUUCGAACUAGUAGUACUUACUACAAUUACAUUUACCUUUGUCUCUUUGUUAUCAUAAAAGUACUUUUCACCUAUCAAUCCAAACACUAUAGUACCCUACAUUAUACAAUGUGUUCCCAAAAUAAUACACUCUACCCAAUUAAAUUAUGCCACGUGUUAUCGUAAAAGAUUCCCUCUUCACGUGCAUACCUUCUAGUUCCACAACCUAGCUCACGUUAGCAAAACUAAUCUAAACUACGCCGAAUAUUAGAAUCUAAAAAAAACAAUGUGAAAACGUAGUUUUAGAAUACUCACUAGGCUCUUGCGUGACCACGUACGACGUACCACCGAAAUAGCAACUCCCGCCAGCACGUGCUUGUUUUUGAUAAUAACUGUUAAACGCAAACGAAGCGUGCGAAACCAAUGUGUUAGGAUUGUAACACGUGGAGUUCGGCUGAAUCGAACGGCAAUCAGCACCUCCUUCACCACAAGCAAAAUCUAAAGCGGCUUGUAGCUUAUUUUUAUCCGCGUAAGGAUUCGCAACGCACCACGUGUUCCCGGUAGUACUCUUCGAAACACCGCCAUUACCACCUCCCUCCGACGGAGUAGGCUGGUUUGCACCACCUGCAACCGGUGACGGAUUGUCGUGGUAAUUUUUAAGCGCCUCCACGGUUAAUGGAACGUCGUAAACCUUCUUCUCAUUAGGGUAAAACAAACCGAAAUUUCUCUCUGAAGUGGGGCCAGGUUUCUGAUUUUCAUUGAAAAGUGCGAAUAAAUAAACGGUUAGAUCUGCUUUAGGUCUCAAAGGGGUCCCACUUCCAGUCAAGAUCUUACGGACGAGAUUCCCGUUGUAAGCAGCUGCAUUCUCUACACUCGCACCCACCUCAUUGCCAUCACCUUUCGAAGGCCAGCCUGUCUCUGAAACGACAAUGUUCACAUCGUCGUAUUUCAAACUAUUGAGUGCAGCGAAAACGGCGUCGAUUUGAGCGUCGAAGAGGUUUGUAUAUCUUAACCCGUUACCCGGAUCCACCUGACCCGGGUUUUGUCUAAAUAGAGCAUAAUCUAAAGAGAUGACGUCAGCGUUUGACUCGUAAGCGAAAAAAGGGUAAACGUUUACCAUAAGGUAAGAACCGGUUUCGCGGAUAAAAUCUAGCAUGGGUUUAAAAACGGGUUGGAUUAACUCGGGUCGGAAUGACCCUGAUGAGGAAGGGUAAGAGUUACCAAGUGCGGAAAGUGCGAUGGGGGAGGAAACUUUAAUGUCGGAGUGGAGGUUAUGUUUUUGGAGUGCUCUGUAGAUGUUUUUCAUGGCGGGUACGAGGAACUUUGUGGUGUUGCUGGGAUCCACGAAGACUUCGUUACCAACUGCAAUGGCUUCGAUUUGGGUAGGAGUGCUCUGUAGAUGUUUUUCAUGGCGGGUACGAGGAACUUUGUGGUGUUGCUGGGAUCCACGAAGACUUCGUUACCAACUGCAAUGGCUUCGAUUUGGGUGUGAGGGUAGUAAGCUACGACGUUUCGUUCGACCCAUGACAGAGCAAAGGAAGGUGCUUUUGCGGCUGCGAAGAGUUGUUGGUUUGGGAGAUCAACGGUUACUUUGAUUUUGGAUCCGGAUAAUGCUCGGAGAACUGAAGGGUCGGUGUCGUAGACUUUGACACGGUCCAGACCUUGUGAUUUGAGGAGAUGGACUACUUUCAUGGCGGAGGGGAGGUUGUUGGCUAUGCGACCGUAGUUUAUUCCUAUGGAACCUCCAUCAGAGGGAGUGAGAAGGGUGAGGGAAAGUACGAGAAAGAUCGUAACGAGGGUGAAGUGCUGCAUUCUCUGGUUCUGUUGAGAAACAGAGAGAUGAGUUUAGGGUGAAGAUUAUGUAAUGGUUAGAAUGUGGGAAUGUGUAAUGUGGUGUGUUUGUUUGUGGAACAAGUGGGAGUGACGUGAGGAGUGUGUAUCUAUCUAUCUAUGAUCGAUGUAUUGAGGGGAACGAGGAAGUGGGGGGUAAAAGGGUAAUUUACAUCUGUAAUUGGGACCCACUAUGUGUUUUUGUUGCUGUAACAAAACAAAAGGACGAGUAAUAAUAGGACCACCUCGUGUUGUGAAAGAAGACUUGGUUUGCUGGCUAGAGCAACAUGAUUGCCGGGAAUUGGUUUUAUUUUGUGAUGUGUCUCAAUGAUUUUGUUAAGUGGAGUGAACAUGGGUGAUAUACAUAAACUGUGAAUUAUUCCACUCGAAAACUGUUAUAGAAAUAGAGCUACUUGCAAUGUAGUGGUGAUGCAUUGAUUGAGUCAUGGAUUAUCCAGCUAUUUAGGUUGAAAUUGAUUUAAUAACUAAUUAUAUAGACAUAUUUUCUUAGAUAUACGAUGUUGCAAGAAAAAUAAUAAUUAGAUCAAGUCUUGCUUGGCAAGUGUAUUCUAUGAUCAAAAUGUUGUUAGAUUUAUGAUAAAAGUGGAUGCUUAUGAUCAAAGUAUUGUUAGAUUUAUGAUCAAAGUGGAUUCUUAGAGUUUUGACUUGAAUCUCCAUAUAUAGAAAAGGAUGACUUUUAUAUUUAUUCAAAUACUAACUUUGGUAAUCAUCCUCAAACCCGGACAACGGUUAUAUCAUGCCUUCUUCGUUUUUAUUGUGCUUUAGUUAUAUUUGACUAAGUAAAAUAAGAUGUGUUUUUGUUGUAUGGGUGUGUUUAUUCAUUUUCACUUAGGAUAGGUCUAGAGAAUUGUGUGGUAGGGAUUAGGAGAUAUACAUGUCUUUUUGUUUAGGGAAUAAAGUAAAUUAGGUCUUACGUUCCCUUUUCUGAGGUGUUCACCGGUGAUUUGGUAAACAAUCACUUAAUUUUAAAUUUAUUGUUUGAAUGACCAAACUACUAAAUCCUGAAGUAUAUGUUACUAAAUUUUUGAGAAAAGAAAGUGUGUUAAUGUUGUCGAAUAUUUGUGUUGACUAUUUUGAAAAUGAUUGAAUUUGAAAGUAAAUGUAUCAGCAAUUUAGACUAAGUCGAAAUUGUAACUUGAAUGAAUAAAAAAUAAGCAAAUGUGGAUGAAAUGAAAAGAAAACUUUAUUUGCAUAAGUAAAAGUUAGUAGGCAAGUACAUUUACUUCAGAUACUCAUUUCUCGCUUGCGUAUGGAUACUUUGAGUUUGUAUUGAAGUUAACAAUGAUUUUGUCACCCCGAAUCCUAACGUUAAAAUCCUUAUUUAUAGUACUACAAACUAAUUGUCUUCAACCUUCAAUUGUCUUAUAUCUGACAUGUCACCUCCGCAUGCUUUGCUUGUCUUCGAUUGAUCUCCACGUGUCUUUGGUAUUUGGAUAAGACCCAAAACAGUUAUUUGGUUUGAUUUUGAAUUGCUUUGGUCGAAUCUCCUUAGAUUUGUCAAAUUGGUGAAUAACCAAAUUUUUGGAAAUUUCACUAAGUACCAGACAAAAUUCUUCAUAUGUCGAACAUUGAUGUUUUUCCUCCAAUAUCCCUAGUCGAAAAGCAUGAAAUCUUGUCUUAUGUUUGCACAAAAAUUUCAGCUAAUUCCCUUGUCGGAUUAGUAUAAUGAAACUUCUUGGCUAACAAAUUGCCCCCAAAAAAUGUCACUUUCGAUUCAUUAUGAGAGACAUGUGGCAUUUUUGAAAUUUCACCAUUAUUCAAAGUUGUGUGUUGACGUCACCGUCAUCAUGGAUAUUACCUAAAACGUCUUUUUGAGACGUGCAAGUUCAGAAAAAUCAGCAUGGCUCUGAGUUCCUAUGAAAGCGUGGAUCACACACAAUCCCCACUUCCCAAUUUCUCACCCUUCAUGGGACACUUGUCAAAAAGGUUUUUUCUGAUUUUACCUACUGUAUGAAUGGUAGAGGAUGCAAUUGCAUUCCAUAAGGACCUCUCAAACAAAAGUUAAAAUGAAUGCAAAACAUGCCACAAACUCAAUGAAAAAGGAACGCUCUAACCAUUUUUCCCUUGCAAAAGUACUUGGAAGUGAAAUUAAUAAUGUAUCCAAGAGUCUCAUUGACUUGAUGACUAUCCUUAUAUUUGGACUUUCAAUCUUGUUCAAUCAUGACGGUUAUCUUUCUCCUCCUCAUGUUUUAUCAUCUUAGGUUGAUCAAUCCCUAAUAUGAUGAACUUAAGUAUGUCUUGUUGAAUAUAUGUUACAUCAUGAAACACAAUACCUUUUCUGACACUUCUCGAAUAGAAAACAUUAAUAAUAAUCAACACACUUUUACUAAUUAAAAGAAUCAAUAAAAUUUAACCUUAUUAGUAACACAAUCCAUAUUUCUUGUCACAUAGUCAAAGAAAUAAUGAGAUGUUGCCCGUAUUAUGCCUUGAGCCUCUAUAAAUGAGAUCACAUACUCUCUUCAUAGAGUCAAGACAUCUAUGUUGCAAGAUUAAUGAAUAGUGUUAGUGUUACCACGAAAAAUUUCUAAGGCAUGCUAAAAGCAUAGUUAGUGAUAGAGCCCUGUGAAUCAGGGGGUUAUACCCCAUCAAAAGAUGAAGAGGCGUUUGAGGCAAGUAAGAGUAAGAAAAACACAAGUCAAUGGAGAAGCCGACAGGAGAACUUGUUGGGUCGACAGGCCAUCCCGUCGACUGAGGCGAAGUUUGAGACUUAAAGAAUUAUAGCCAAAUGCGUAGAAGACAGCAUCGCCCUAACGUCUGGGCGGGAGAAAUUUGAAAUUUAAAUAAAUAACCAGCAGUUACAAGAGAAUAAAGAGCACCAGAGUCUGGAGCAGUUAACAAGACAUGGGUGCAACGGUUGUGCAGAUCGUGUGACAUAACGUCUGCUAGCUUCUAGGAGUUUUAGCUUGUGGGCAGUUCCUUUAGUGUAGUAUAUAUAGGAUGUCCCGCAAGGGCCUCAAGGUGUUCACUUUGUACUGAAAAUCACUUGUAAGAAAACUUCCCAUUCCCAGCGCGAGGAAGCAAGAGUUUUUUUAGAGUGCUAUGUACGUGAAUCACCACAUUUAUUUCAAUGCAACUUCCUUACUAAACUUCCCAUUCCCAGCGCGAGGAAGCAAGAGUUUUUUUAGAGUGCUAUGUACGUGAAUCACCACAUUUAUUUCAAUGCAACUUCCUUACUUUUCAAUUGUUCCCGUUGAACAUUUUAUCUUAAUUUCAUUUACCUUUGAGUUAUCAUUUUACGUUGUCGUUAACGCUGUCGACACCGAUUCUAUUACGAUAAUAGAGUUUACCAAAAGCGUGUUCGUCGUAUACCUUUUUUGAAUACUAUAGCGCUGUCGGUCACGAGUCACCUAUAGGCUGUAGCAUUGUCUAAACCGUUCGUGUGGAAAACCCUACGCUUGUUCGACACUUUGUUAGGAGUCGUUUCUCACAAAGUUAUUUCGUCGAGUUGGACAAGCCUCACUUGCACUAGCACAUGUCCUAGGAUCAACUGGUUGAUCCUGCAAGUAACCAUUUGUUUUAAGGCCUAGGGAGGACCAACGGUUUUUUACCAAUUUCCACAGUAAACAAAAUGGCACACCCAGUGGGACGGUGCUAGAGCAGUUGCGAAAUUGCAUGAAACUUAGAAGUGGCAAACUGUAUAAUAAGCCACGAAAUAUUGUGAAAAUGUCAGAAACUAACACGGAUGAAGUACCACGAGGAACUUUAUCCACUACGGAAACAGUAAUCUCACAGGUUGCCACUUUACCACCGAUGACAAAUGCAACCUCAACCAUGUCGACCACGGGUGCGGUUGGAACAUCAAUUCCUCAGCCUCCACCGGGGGGUUCAGGAUCAACGAUAACAACGUUCAGACUUUAUGUGCCUCACUUUGGCACCACAAAUCCUCUUUAUGGAAUGAUGUAUUCCUUAAUGCCAGGAUAUCAGUCGACAUCAAGUGCAUCACUGUUUUCAGAUACAAAUCCACCCUUGCAAGGAUCAGCGCAAGGGGGCAACAUUAGGAAUAAUACUCAGAACAGAACCAUGCCGCUAUCGAACACUUCAGUAGCGGUGUUGAGACAACAAAUGGACGAUAGUAACCAUGAAUUGGUUAACAUGUUGACUAACCAGACGGGCACAGUCUUUAAUCAAGUAAUGCAAGAAUCUGCCGAAACAAAUAGGCAGGUGGCGAAUCAAUUGACACGCUUGUGCAAUUUUCUGGGGGCACCGGCUCGACAGAUGACACAAGUGAUUAGACCGACUAUUCUUGUGCAGAGGGAGAUAGGGGCAACGGAAGAAGAGACAGUCCACGAGGGACAAAUCAUUAGACCCCUUCAAAAUCAAGGCGUCGAAUCAGGAGUCGCGGGAUGUAACCAGAUGGUAAUGGUUAACCAACACCAGGAUGCUGAUCAAAUUGUCGAUCAACAUCGACAAGAAGACUUAGCAGUGGAAAAUAAUUUGACAACUAUUGUCGAAAGGAUUAUGGCUAGAAAUGGCAUAGGUGCUACAUUGCAAAGGACAUUGUACGCCUCCCCGUUAGCUGAGUUUAUUCUCCAAGCCGAGGCGCCCAGGGGGAUGAAAGUGCCUAAGUACACUAAAUUUGGGGGAGAGUCUGGUGAAUCGACAAUAGAGCACGUUGCUAGAUACUUAACAGAGUUGGGAGAUCUAGCUCAUAAUGAAUGUUUGAGAGUAAAAAACUUCCCCUCCUCUCUGACUAAGGCUGCCUUCACACGGUUUACUUUGUUGGCCCCAAGUUCAAUCGACUCGUGGGCCAAAUUAGAAAAGAAGUUCCAUGAACAGUUUUACGAAGGACACUCCAAAAUUAGUUUGGCAGAAUUGUCUAGUAUCAAAAGAAGGUUUACUGAGAGCAUCGACGAUUAUCUGAAUCGUUUUAGGUCCUUAAAGGCUAGGUGUUUUACGCAAGUGCCAGAACAUGAACUAGUUCAAAUGGCCGCAGGAGGGUUAGAUUAUUCCAUUAGGAAGAAAAUAGAUCCAACUUUUGUGAAAAGUAUGUCACAAUUGGCUGAUAGAGUCCGACAUCUAGAACGGCUAAGGGUAGAAAAAGUUUGGCACAAUAAGUCUAAGAAAGAAAAGGUAGCGUUUGUCGAAUACGAUGCGACAGACCCAAUAUGUGAGGCUGAUUAUGCUUCAUCGACCGAAUUAGAAAUCGACGUGGCUGAACUAAAGCCAGGAUCCGCCUAUGAGUGUCGAUCAUUGCUACCUGCGCAAGGAAAAAAUCCUAUCGAACACAACCCAAAAUUCCCUUCGAAAACUUAUACUUUUGAUGUGUCGAAAUGUGAGGAAAUUUUUUACUUGUUGGUCAAAGAUGGUCAAAUGGUGGUACCUCCUGGUACUAAAAUACCACCGUUAGAACAAAGACAGAAAAGAGGAUUUUGUAAGUAUCAUAACUAUCUUGGUCAUAAUACCUCUAAUUGUUACCUUUUCAGGGAUUUGGUUCAGAAAGCGAUUCAAGAAGGCAGGCUGAAAUUUGCUGGCCGCAGAAUGAAGAUCGACGCUGAUCCUCUUCACCAGGAGGAAGUGCUGUUCGUGGAGCCAGUCGAGAUCAACAUGGUCGAGAUCACCGAAUACGAUGAGGCCAACAUGCUGGAGCAAACUGGGGAAAGCCCAGAUGUCGAUAUAGCUGAAGUUUACCCAAGGGCUGAUGAAGACUUGGUAGAUUUUUUGUAUCGCUGCAAGAACAAGGGUUCACAAGUGUGCCUGUGCCCUAGGUGUGGUGCUGUCACUGACCAAAUAGCGGUGGAGAAUUUCCAGAAACUGCAAUUGGGUAAAAGCAAAAGGAAUGGGCCGACCAGGGGUUACCAAAAUGAAAGAGGCUCAAAAAAGACUGUGGGAAAUACCCAAACAAGGCCUAAGAGCUUUGUACCGUCGGCAAGUGCCCCUAGAGGUACUUGGAUUAAGCCUCGGGAAAAACAAGACACCCCACAAGGUGUUGCUGCUGCUGCUAGAGGAGGUCUAACAAUUAACUACAGGCGUGAGUUUAAGUCUGAAAAAAGGACUCAUGUCUCUGAAAAUUAUUUGGGGAAGAACCCCAUGUUGAGGACUCAAUGGAGACGCUUUCAGAGGCGUAAACAGACCGAAAGAGAAGCUACAAGAGGCAUGACCAGCAAGGCGAAUGCUGGGAAGAAAAUUAUUGUGAAGGUCGACACAGCAGCGAAGGAACAGAUCAGAGAGUACGCCCGUCGACCAACUGAAAAAUGUUCUGAUGAAGUGACUGAUGACUUCAAUUCAGAGUCUGAAGCAAGUCAGGAUAUCUUGGUCAACAUGGUGUCAAUCCUACCACAAGAAUACAAAUGUGUGACUGAAGUGGAAGAGUCGGUAGACGAUGCUGACGCUGAAGAAAUGGCUUUGCACCAGCCAAGAUGCUAUUUUGUGCUGAACGAUGGGUCUGCUGAAAGCCAAGAGGCAGUGUUCAAAAGACCAACGAUGAACAUGAAGAAUCAUUUGAAACCACUACUGAUAAGGGAAAAAGUGGAAGGCGUAACUGUCAACAAAGUCUUGGUCGAUUGUGGUUCCACGGUCAACAUCAUGCCGCACCAUAUUCUGAGGAAGAUUGGUAAGUAUGAUACCGACAUCAGAUCUAACAACGUGGUUUUGUCUGACUACGGAGGAAAGACGAAAAGCACCAUGGGAGUGAUUAUGGUGAAUAUCACGGUGGGUUCAAUAACCAGACCGACACUAUUUAUGGUGAUAGACGCUAAGCCAAGUUACAACUUGCUAUUUGGCAGAGAAUGGUUACAUGGCGUCGGAGCGGUUCCAUCUUCAGCACACCAAAGGUUGGUGAUUUGGAGAGAAGAUAGGGUGGUCGAAAAUAUCGAAGCCGACCAAGGGUACUUCAUGGCUGACGUGAAUAAUGUCGGUAAGAAGGAGUUCGAUAGAAAGCUGGCCAACAUCUCUCCUUGCUUUCCAACUGAAGAUGUGUAUGCUAAUUUGAGUGAAGCUUUUGUCUCUCUGACUCUGCAAGAGACUCAUGGCUUCAUUUGAGAUGUGGAACGCCUAGAUGAUCCACCCUAUACAGGUAUCCGACCGACAGGCUGGGGAGACGUCACUGAUGAUGUAUGAGUUAGAAGCUCUAAGAAAGAUUUAGGCAUACGUUGCCGAGAACAAAAUAAAUUCGGCUCUAGAGGCUGAAGAAAACAUGGUUGUCGAAGCCUAUGCGUUAAAUAAAGAGGGGCAUAUGGCUAUUGGGCCAGAACCCCCAGACAAGCCAACUUUGGCUAAAAGGAACAUCGACAUGCAGCGUCUGGACUGUAUUUAUGAUAAUGAACCUUUAGGGUUUGAAAAAUACCCAAAGGCACCAGAGAAAAUCUGACCAAAAGACCCCUUGGAAGAAGUCGACCUUGGCGAGAAAAGGCCAACAUACAUAAGCGCCAACAUCGACAAAGAACUAAAGUCUGAGGUAAUAUCCAUACUUAAAGAAUUUAGGGACUGUUUUGCUUGGGAUUAUAACGAAAUUCCUGGUUUAAGUAGGGAUUUGGUCGAGUUAAAGCUGCCAAUAAAAGCUGGAAGAAAGCCAGUGAAGCAGACGCCCAGGCGUUUCGCCCCAGAGAUCAUGGCAAAGAUAAAGGCAGAAGUAGAAAGACUCUUGAAAAGAAAGUUUAUUCAAACUACAAGGUAUAUCGAAUGGUUGGCCAAUAUUGUGCCAGUCAUCAAGANCGUUGCCGAGGGAACCAAAAAAAUUAAAUUCGGGCUCUAAGAGGGUGAAGAAAAACCAUUUGGUUGUCGAAAGCCUAUGCGUUAAAUAAAGAGGGGGGCAUAUGGCUAUUGGGCCAGGAACCCCCAGACAAGCCAACUUUGGCUAAAAGGAAACAUCGACAUGCAGCGUCUGGACUGUAUUUUAUGAUAAUGAACCUUUAGGGUUUGAAAAAUACCCAAAGGCACCAGAGAAAAUCUGACCAAAAGACCCCUUGGAAGAAUCGACCUUGGCGAGAAAAGGCCAACAUACAUAAGCGCCAACAUCGACAAAGAACUAAAGUCUGAGGGUAAUAUCCAUACUUAAAGGAAUUUGGGACUGUUUUGCUUGGGAUUAUAACGAAAUUCCUGGUUUAAGUAGGGAUUGGUCGAGUUAAAGCUGCCAAUAAAAAGCUGGAAGAAAGCCAGUGAAGCAGACGCCCAGGCGUUUCGCCCCAGAGAUCAUGGCAAAGAUAAAGGCAGAAAGUAGAAAGACUCUUUGAAAAGAAAGUUUAUUCAAACUACAAGGUAUAUCGAAUGGUUGGCCAAUAUUGUGCCAGUCAUCAGAAAAAUGGGUCUUUAAGAGUAUGUAUUGAUUUUAGAGAUCUAAAUGCUGCCACCCCAAAGAUGAGUAUGCCAUGCCCGUGGCGGAAAUGCUGGUCGAUUUGGCCGCUGGUUUUGAAUAUUUAAGUAUGUUAGAUGUUAUGCUGGAUAUAACCAAAUUUUUAUUGUAAGGGGGGAAAGAAAAAAGGAACGGCCGGGAAAGGACGACGGCGUUUCGAUGCCCAGGAGCCUUGGGGACAUAUGAGUGGGUUGUCAUGCCAUUUGGCUUGAAAAAUGCCGGAGCAACAUACCAGAGGGUAAUGAACUCAAUGUUCCAUGAUUUUAUUGAAGAUUGCAUGCAAGUAUAUGUAGCACCUCAAAUUUGUACCCCCCAUUCAUGCAUUCAUUUCAUUUUUAGGUCAUUAACAUUGCAUUAACAUUGCAUAGUGCAUUGCAUCUUAUCAGUCAAGACUGGCAUCAGGAGAAUUCAUCUGUGCAAGAGAGCAAUGGUUUUUCCAUGAGAUAAAGGCCCUAUGGUUGUUCUAGAGAGCUUAUGUGAACCCAAGGUUCAUUUUGAUGCAAUUUGGUCAAGUGUUGAAAGCUCAAAGUCCACAGUGCAGUUUCAAGUCAUCUGCGGCUCAUAAAAGUCAACUGCAAGGCAACUGAGGGCUAGGAGGUGGAGAAAUGGUUUGAGACACUUCAUUCAUGUCCAAAAGAGGUUUAUACAUCAUGCCAAACAUCUACCUUGAAGAUUUUGAAGCCAGAUCAAAAGUUUCCCAAAAUGGAAAGUGACCUGUAAUUUCAAGUUUCCAAAAAUGGCAAGUUUUUGGACCAACUUCAACUACUGAAAGGUUGUAGUUAGAAGCUUCAAAUGAAAUUUUGUCCAACAUGAAAGUUGAAGAUCUUUCUCUCCCAUUUCCAAAAAGUCCAAGAUCAUGAGCAUCUGAUGAAUGGUUGAGGAGAUAUGAUCCAAUCAUUGCCAAGUGUGCAUGGAACUUCAAAUGACCAUAACUUUUGAUUCAUAACUCCAAAUUUGGUGCCUCUUUUUCUAAAAUGCUUCUCAUGUCAUGUAGUUUCCAAAACAUUAAUCACAUUGCAUGAAAUUUGAACAUAUGAUCAUUUGCUUAUUCAUGAAGAUUUUGGAGGGAAAAUCAUAAAUUCAAAAAUGGUGCAUCAUGAGAACUUUUUACCAUUGCCAAUGUGUUAAGAAAAGGAUUUUAAGAGAAUUUGAGCUGGUAAGGGUUACUGUUCACGUGUGCAUGCUUCACACACCCUCCAAUUUGUCAUUUUUUGCCAUGCACCUUAUCUUGAUUAACUUCAACUAAACCUUGAUUAAUUUUAAUUAAAAUAGGAUUAGCACAUGGUAUAAAUACUUAAACCUAACAGAAUUUCAGGAGCUUAAUCACUUUUCACCAUUUUUGAGAUCUAGAAAUUUUUCCCUCCAUUUUUUCUCUCAACCAAAACUUGAAAAAUAUUCAAAGAACCUUGCAAUAUUCUUCUAUAUUCUUGUUCUCUGGUGUGAAUUGAAUACAAAUCAAGUGUUAGAUUGUUGAAUUCGAGCAAGAAUUAUGCAUAGCAAGUUCAUGAAGGUGAAGAUGGAGAUUCUGAUUUAAGCUAGAUCCAGCACCUGCCAAGCUUCAAUCUCUUCAUCAAACAUCAUUACAAGUGUUAUAGAGUGGAUUUGGAUCAUUCAAGGGAUCGUGCGAAUUCAAGGAUCUGCUCUUCAAGAGGUCAAGUUUCGAAUCUCUUAAUUUUGCAAUUCAUGCACUAUUCUUGUAGAUCUCAUGUUGCUGAUGAUUCUGAGCUAAAUUUCGUGUGAUUUGGUUAAAAAUGAGAUAUGGUUGAUUGAAGUUUUGAAUGUUAAAAUGAUUUUGCUUCGUUUUGCAUGAUUGAUGAUGAAUUAGCAUGAAAUAUUGUUUGAUCUGUGAUCCUCAUGAUGUAACCGUUCCAAUGAUGUAAUUUUUUUUGAAUUCUGGAGAAAUCUGGAAAAUUCUGGAAAAUUGUGAUGAACUUCAUCCUUUUCAUCAUCUUCUUCAUGAAGAAGAUGAAGAUCUUCAUGGUAGCGUCGGCUUAGUGACGGUUUAGCGUCCAAUAUGCAAGGCGCUAGGGUUCUUGCUGCAGAACGCGCCCAUAACACAUUUGAUCCUUGCUCCUCAAUUCGAUUCUUGCUUCCAGCGUUUUUUGGAUUUUAUUUUCACUCAGCGCUCCCUUUAAAUUUGAACACGGUUCGAAUCCAGCAUGCGCCACUUUUUCAAAUCAUUUCAUCAUUUUCACUUUUCCCUCCAUAUUUCAUGUAUGCUUCAUUUGUUUGUUUUCAAUUUUUUUCCAACUUCAAAAAUCCAUAACAAAUUGAAAAAUGGCUCAAAUAAUUCCAAAUAUUUUGUAGCAUGAUCCUUUGUUUGUCUAGUUUUGUAUGAUGAUGAAUUUUGAGGUUGUGCAUGGCUGGUUUUUGAUUUGUGUCAGAAUAUGUGAACAUAUGUGCUUUUAUGACCUUGCCUUGCUUUUUCUAUCAUGAAAUGCUUGAUAAUGAUCCAAAUUGCUUGAAAUUUUGCAUGAUGCCUCUUGACAUGUUUCUGGACUUUUUAGGCUUGGUUUGGUAUUUUUCUCAUUUACCAUUUCUGUUUUAUGCACAUGUUUGUAUGGUGUGACAAUUUGUGUCACACCUUUGGUUGUUCAACUUGUGCAAUUUAAUUUCCAUGCCAAAUGAUCUUUGUUGGUUCUGAUUUUUUGUAUGAUGAUGGUAUUGGAUGUGUUGAAUGUUCAUGAAUUUUUCCAGAAUUAUUUGAAUCAUUUCUGUUUUGAUUUGGAAUUUUCAUUCAUAAUGAUCAAAUAUGAGCUUUGAAAUUGUCUUUGACUUCUCUUGCACAUGAAAUGCCUUUGCUUGAUGAUUUUGUUUUGGUCCUUUUUAGGACAUGUUAAUAUGUGUUUGAAGUUGCAUUGUGUUGAAUUUCAGCUCCUGUUUUGAAUUUUUUCUUCACCUUUGACCCUAGGCUUUGACCUAGUGGUAUGUACUUACAUGUGAGCUUUGAAUUUCAGGUUCAAGCAUCCAAUUUCCAUGGUUGAUGUUGCUUCAUCAUGUGAAUGUUGAUAUUUGCUAUUGAUUGCUAACAUUUUCUGUUUUGUAGGUUGAUGAUAACUCACUUGAGUUUGCCUAUUGGCUUAUAUUUUUGUACAUUGGGAUUGUCUGUUUGUUGUUGACUGUUGUCUGUUUGUCUGAGUUCUGUACUGAUUGGUUUAGUUGUUUCCACAGGUACCUAAGUUGCUUUAAGUUCAUUUGAACUUUGCUUUGCUUUGCUUGUGGUUGGCAUACCACUGAGGUAAAUUCCUACUCUUCAUGUAGUCUGGAAGACCUGUCAUGUUAUUUUGGCAGGCACUUGUCUGAAGCCCUCCUUAAGAGGCAAUGUUUGUGGUUGUUUAAUAUUGUGCCAAGCAGGUUAAGUCCUCUUAAGAGGCAAUUGGCAGAUAAAAGGGAUGUGUAAUUCAUCCCCUGCUAUUCAGUUGUGUCAUUCACUUUGCUCACACCAUGUGUUGAUGCACUUUGAAUAAAAACCCAAAAUCGUUGUCCAUAGAGUCAGUUCAUUUGUUGGAGAAGAGUUCCUUAAUUCUGAACUCACACUUUCUAUUGAUUAAAGCUCUCCCAGGCCAGGGAUAAGAGCUGUGAGGUCUUACCCUCACUUCCCAUUUCAUCUGCUUCACCCUAACUCUCAAUGUUAGGGUUAAGAGCUCAAAAUACCCAUUUUCAAUUGGCUUGUUUGUCGAGGUUGAUUUGACCCCUUGACUAAAGCCCAACCUUGUGUGAGCCAAUUGUUUGCAUAUAUUGUGUGAUACUUGUGCUUGUGUUUGCUCAUGUGCUGUGUAGGAUAGCUUGCUUCCUGUGCAAGUUAGGAUUAGAGACCUCAACAUAGGAUCGUAUGCAUGACAACUUCUAGGCUCGAGUCAUAGUCUCCCUAGUAGUCUGUUAUCUCCCUAGUCUCUGGUUAGGAUAGAAGUUAUUUCCCUGUUAAGGGGAACUACGUCGCCAUGAUCCUCAUACCAAAUGAGGUACGUAGGCAGGAGAUGAGCUGAUCUCUCCGGGCGCCCUUUUUCUUUUUCAAACCCCCUUGUGUGUGUUUGGAGUCUGACAUAAGUCCAGCGAUUGGCAUUCGGUUUCCUGUGUCUUGUUUGUUUGUUGGAGUCUGACAUAAGUCCAGCGAUUGGCAGUCGGUUUCCUGUUUGUGUUUUGUUUGGCGUGCGUUAGUCGAGCUACGAGUGCUCUGAUUCUUCUCUAGUUAGAGAAGAUACGUAUGCAUAGGAUGCGAUAUCCUAGCGAGCACGUUCCCCAUAUCCCUUCUCCCGUUUUUCCAUCUUUCAUCUAUGUUUAUCCCAGCUUGUGCACUUCUUGAGCAGUCUUUUUAGCAACCUUUCUUCUAUUCUUUUUGAGCGUGGAUCCCGUCGAGUACGACAGAUGUGUAGGGGUGCUAAUACCUUCCCUUCGCAUAACCGACUCCCGAUCCUAUCAAUCUCUGGUCAUAAGACCAUUCCCUUUCCAGGUUUACUUCGAGCGUUUCCUUUCCCUCCUUUGGGAUAAAUAACACACGGUGGCGGCUCUAUGUCUUUUUCCCGCCGGUUUUUCGCGUAAUGCGAUAGCUGGCGACUCUGCUGGGGACUAAAGAGAAGUUGACCUCUUGCUGGUCCAUCUUCCCUAAGCGAGUCAAUCCUAGCGCUCUCUAGGAUAGUUUUGGUUGCUUUUACUGCUUAUUUAUUGCAUUCAUUAUCAUGUUGUGAUUGGUUGCAUAUAUGUUUGCAUGCAUCAUAUUACCAUCAUGUUGGAUUCUGUACAGGUUAUUCCUCUGAUUUGGGGUGGGUGUUCUGAGUGGGGCUAAAACCCAGGCCCGAGUAUACACCUAGGAUUAGCGUGGUCUCAUGUUGCCUCUCAUGUUAGGUCAACAUGUUUUUUGGCAACGUGACAUACAUACACCUAGGAUUAGCGUGGUCUCAUGUUGCCUCUCAUGUUAGGUCAACAUGUUUUUUGGCAACGUGACAUACCACAAGCCGGACGAGGUUCUUUUGAGGGAGCUCUUCCUUUGUGGAGUAUCCACUUUGGUUGAGUCACUUCAUCUAAAUUGUUGACUUCGGUGACCGUUCAUUCCCGGAUCUUUGGUUUAGAUGAUCUUAAGAGAGCUGCAACGGCACACCCGAAAGGGCAAACCCGUUGAGUAUCUUUGUCCGAUUGUCGAGACCAUUAUCCGCCUUAGGAUGACCUUGUUAGAAUUCACCUGUGAGGGGAGGGUUUGAUCCUUACAGAUGCAGUUUCUGCCAGUGAUGCUGUGUUGGUGACCUUGGUUAAGUCGGAUUUAUGGAUCUUUAUUUUUGAGACGCCGGAGGUUUGACCGUGGUAUUGAUCAGAGGGUUCCGUUUAUUUCGGAUCCCCGGGAUGAAUUUGAGGGUACUUGCUCAGAUGGUGACUUGGUUCUGAAGUUUGGGUUCCCGAUGACUUUGGGUUCCAAAUGACUUUGAUCUGUGGUUUCCGGUGCCGAAUUCAUGCCGAAGUUUUGAUCCUGUGCCAGGAGAUACUCAGCCAACCUGCCAUGGCUUCAUCAUUGUGCAUCAUAGCAUGUUUAUUUUCAAUAAAUAAAUAAAUAAUAAUGCAUAGAAAAAGAAAAAAGAAAAGUUAACCUGCAUACGCAUCACACGCAUCAUACACAUAUCAUUCUUGCAUUACAGGUGUUCUUGAACAAGGCUUCUCAUUCUAGUUCCUGUUUUAGGCAGGAUUGCUGAUCAUCAUCUGCAUCGCUACGCUACCAGACUGAAUCAACGGAGAAGUAUGGAUCAAAUGCAAGCUGAGUUGGCUGAGAUGAGGGCUAACAUGGCCCAGUUUAUGAAUAUGAUGCAAGGGGUUGCGCAAGGUCAAGAGGAAUUGCGAGCCUUGGUUCAGAGACAGGAAGCUGUGAUUCCACCGGUCAACCGUGCUUCACCAGAGGGGGUCCCUGUUAAUGACAACGUUGCUGCUGCUACUAUUCCCGUCAACAACUAUGAUGUGGGUGAUGAGUUGAGGGGUAUCAGAAUCAAUGGACAACCUAUUGCUGCUGAGACUGUUAAUGUUAGAGCAACCCGUGCUCCUGUUCGCCAUCCUGCUCCGUUGGUUGACAGACAGGAGGACAUGUUUACUCUCCUCAGUGAGGAUGAUGAAGUUGUGAGAACUGAAGAGAGGGAUAGGAAGGUUGAUGCCUUAGCUGAGAAGAUCAGAGCCAUGGAGUGUCAGAACUCUUUGGGAUUCGAUGUGACCAAUAUGGGCUUGGUUGAUGGGCUGAGAAUUCCUUACAAGUUCAAGGCGCCAUCCUUUGACAAAUAUAACUACACUUCUUGUCCUCGCACUCAUGUGCAGGCAUAUUACAGAAAAAUCUCCGCAUACACUGACGAUGAGAAGAUGUGGAUGUACUUUUUCCAGGACAGCUUGUCCGGAGCUUCCUUGGAUUGGUACAUGGAGUUGAAGAGGGAGUCUGUGAGAAGCUGGAAAGAUCUGGGGAAGCCUUCUUGAGGCAGUAUAAGCACAAUAUGGAUAUGGCUCCGAGCAGAACCCAACUGCAGAGUCUGUUCUAGAAGUCUGGUGAAAGUUUCAAGGAGUACGCCCAGAGGUGGCGUGAGUUAGCUGCAAGAGUGCAACCUCCUAUGUUGGAGAGAGAGCUGACUGACAUGUUUAUUGGGACCCUACAGGGGGUGUUCAUGGAGUGGCGUGAGUUAGCUGCAAGAGUGCAACCUCCUAUGUUGGAGAGAGAGCUGACUGACAUGUUUAUUGGGACCCUACAGGGGGUGUUCAUGGACCGUAUAGGAAGUUGCCCGUUCGGUAGCUUUUCUAACGUCGUUAUCUGUGGGGAGAGGACUGAGAGCCUUAUUAAAGCAGGGAAGAUUCAAGAUGCUGGUUCCUCGUCUUCCAGUUCUAAGAAGCCAUUUUCUGGGGCACCCCGAAGGAGGGAAGGUGAAACUAAUGCUGUGCAACACAGAAGAAAUACAAAUAGAGAACAGUAUCGUCAGGUUGCCACUGUGACCAUCCCAACUCAACCUCAGCAACAACAACAAAGAGCUCCACAACAACAUCAACAACAACAACCGCAACGCCCGUUUCAACCAAGGCAGAGAAUGCCCGAGCGUCAUUUUGAUCCACUGCCAAUGACAUAUGCUGAGUUGCUUCCCGAACUGCUCAGAUUGAAAUUCGUCGAACUUCGUACUAUGGCUCCGUUGACAAGAAUUCCUGCUGGGUAUGAUGCCAACGUCCGUUGUGACUUUCAUUCCGGUGCUCCGGGGCAUCAUAUUGAGAACUGUCGGGCUUUCCACCAUAAGGUCCAUGAUUUGAUUGACGCCAAGACAAUCAACUUUGUUCCUGUUCCGAAUGUUGUAAAUAACCCUAUACCUCAACAUGGUGGGCCCCGGGUGAACAAUGUGGAAGAAGGGGAUGCUGUGGAUUUGAUAGCCAGUGUUAAUGAGGUUCAGACGUCGUUGCUAGCGGUAAAAGAGCGUCUGUUGAAAGGGGGAGUGUUCUCGGGUUGUGACAAGGGAUGUUCAGACUGUGAUGAACAAGAGAAUGGUCGUGUCAAGCUGAGAAGUGGCAUCCAGGGUAUGAUUGAUGAGGGUUGUUUGAAAUUUUCUCGGGCUGUGAAAGAUCAUGGGGUGGUGUCAACUGUCACCAUUUAUUUCAAACCGUCUGAGGGUCCUGGAUGUGCUCCGAGAAAUGUUAAUACACCCGUAACUGUUGGUACCUCAGUAACUAUAUCUGCUCCAGUAAUUGUUGGUGCUCCCACUACUGUCGUUGCUUCUGGGAGAAGAUCUGUUGAGAAUAGUAGGGCAGUUCCGUGGAGAUAUGAUAAUGCUUACCACAACAACAGAAGGGCAGAAAGUCAAAUCAGACCAGUAAAUUAGGCUCCAGUGACCAUUGGUGUGCCAAUCAAAGCUCCGGUAAUUGUUGGUCCGGUUGUGGACAAUGUAGGGGGACCAGGAGGUUUCACUAGAAGUGGUCGUCUGUUUGCACCGCAGACUCUGAGAGAUAACAAUGCUGAGGCUCUUGCCAAAGCAAAGGGUAAGCAGCUGUUGUUGAGGAACAAAGGCCUGUGCAGAAGGAGGUGCCUGAAGGAUCUUUUGAGAAAGAUGUGGAGGAGUUUAUGAAGAUUAUUAAGAAGAGUGAUUACAAGAUUGUAGAUCAGCUGAAUCAAACUCCGUCCAAAAUUUCUAUCCUUUCUCUGUUGUUGUGCUCUGAGGCAUACCGUAAUGCCUUGCUGAAAAUGUUGAAUCUGGCUUACGUGCCUCAAGAGAUUUCUGUCAACCAGUUGGAGGGUGUUAUUGCGAAUGUGAGCACAAGGCAUGGUUUAGGGUUCACAGACCUGGAUUUGACACCUGAAGGUCGCAACCAUAACAAAGCUCUGCAUAUCACUAUGGAGUGCAAAGGCGCCGUCUUGUCGCAUGUGUUGGUGGAUACUGGAUCCUCGUUGAAUGUGUUGCCCAAGAAGACUUUGAGCAAGAUUGAUGUUGAAGGGGUUGUCCUCACUCCAAGCGAUCUCAUUGUUCGUGCUUUUGAUGGAUCCAAACGGUCUGUUUUUGGUGAAUUCACUUUGCCAGUGAAGAUUAGUCCGGAGGUAUUUGAUAUUAUCUUCUAUGUGAUGGAUAUUAAACCAGCAUAUAGUUGCUUAUUGGGGCGUCCCUGGAUACAUGGGGCUGGAGCAGUGUCGUCAACUCUCCAUCAGAAGCUGAAGUAUGUAUGGAAUGGUCAGAUUGUAACUGUGUGCGGCGAGGAGGAAAUAGUUGCUUAUUGGGGCGUCCCUGGAUACAUGGGGCUGGAGCAGUGUCGUCAACUCUCCAUCAGAAGCUGAAGUAUGUAUGGAAUGGUCAGAUUGUAACUGUGUGCGGCGAGGAGGACAUUCUGGUUAGUCAUUUAUCCUCUUUCAAGUAUGUGGAGGUGGAUGGCGAGAUCCAUGAAACUCUGUGCCAAGCGUUUGAGACCGUUGCUAUUGAGAAGGUGGCCUUUGCUGAGCAGAAGAAGCCGGGUGUCUCAAUUGCUUCCUACAAGCAUGCCUUGGAGGUUGUCAGCUCUGGUAAUGCAGAAAGCUGGGGCAAGAUGGUUGACCUGCCCGUCAAAGAAGACAAAUUUGGUAUUGGCUAUCAACCUCUGCAGGCAGAGCAGGGUGUUCAAGAUCAGAAGGGGCCGAGUACCUUCACCAGCGCUGGGCUGAUGUAUCAUGGUGACGUCUUUGCAAUCGGUAGUGAAGAUGGUGACAGUGAUUAUGAUGUGGACAACUGGGUGCGCCCGUGUGCUCUAGGGGAGAUGGUGAAUAAUUAGACAGCAGAAGAAAUGGUCCAAGUUACUCUUCAGAUAGAGUAAUUUUCUUUUGUUUUUUUCAUUCUGCAUAAAAGCCCUACGUUCUGCCCGGGGCGUAGUGGUUCAUUGUAGGGCCACAUCAUGUUUUCAAUGAUUAUCAUUAAUAAAGGACGUUUUGCAAACAAAUUUGUGCUCACUGUCUUUCUGUUUUUAUUUUCACUUAUAGGGCCACAUCAUGUUUUCAAUGAUUAUCAUUAAUAAAGGACGUUUUGCAAACAAAUUUGUGCUCACUGUCUUUCUGUUUUUAUUUUCACUUUUAAAACAAUAAAAUGGCAAUGUUUUUUGUUUUUUGUGACUUUCUUGAACUCUUUUUCUAAAAUAAAGCAUUAAACAUGCAGAAUCGAUCUUGCGGACUCCGCUAAAAAUAGUUUUGUUAUGGCUCAGUAUGAUUUCGAUAAUCCCAUUUACCAAGCUGAAGAGGAGAGUGAGGAAGAUUGUGAACUCCCCAAAGAUUUGGUCAGAUUAUUGAAGCAGGAGGAAAGGGUCAUCCAACCUCAUCAAGAAAAAUUGGAAGUUAUCAACCUUGGUACUGAGGACGCCAGGAAAUAGAUCAAGAUCGGGGCUGCUUUGGAGGAAUCUGUCAAGAGAGGGCUGAUUGAGAUGCUGAGAGAAUACGUGGAGAUAUUCGCCUGGUCGUAUCAAGAUAUGCCUGGGUUGGAUACAGAUAUUGUGGUGCACAGGCUACCUCUCAGAGAAGAUUGUCCUUCGGUAAAGCAGAAAUGUAGCACCUCAAAUUUUCACCUCCCAUUUGUAUAUACAUUUUCAUGUUUAGGUCAUUAACAUUGCAUUGUUCAUUGCAUUAGUCCAUCAAGUCAUCAGGCAAAACUGGUUAGAAGACUCAACUGUGCAAGGCAACAAGAGCAUUCUCCAUGAGAUCAAAGCCCUAGGGUUGACACAAUGAGUUCAUGUGACCCAAGGAUCAUCUUGAAGUGGUUUGGCCAAGAAUUGAAGGCUCAAAGCUCAUCAGUCCAUGUGCAAUUCAUCUGAAACCCUAAAAAGUCAACAGAAGUCAACUGUCAAUUCAACUAUGGAUUUGGAGGUGGGAAAUGGUUAGAUAUGCCUCAAUCAUGUGUGAACAAGUCUCAUUUGACAUUCCAAACAUCAACAUUGAAGGAUUUGAAGUCAUAUCAAGACUUUCCCAAAAUAGCAAGUGACCUGUAAUUUGAACUUUCCAAAAAUGGAAAGGUUUUGGACCAACUUCAACUCAAGAUUACAUCAUCAAGAAAGCUUCAAAUGAAAUUUUGUCCAAACAUGAAGUUGAAGAUUCUUUCUCUCCCAUUUCCAAAAAAGUCCAAGAUCAUGAAUAUCUCAUGUGGGGUGAAGAGAUAUGAUCAAAACAUGGAAGGUGUACUUGAAGAUUCAAAUGGGCUUAACUUCUCAACCAAAACUCCAAAUGGAGAUGGCUCUUUUUGCAUUGCUCUUAUUGAUGACCUCUAGUUUCCAAAUCUUGCAUUACAUGCAUGCAUUAUCAUCAUAUAAACAUUUGCCAUUUUACUUGAUUUUUGGAGGGAAAAAAUUGAAGUUUUAAAAUGGUGCAUUAUUUAGACAUUUUCCUUCACAAUGAUUUGUAAAAUGCAUUUUUAAGGUGAAAAUAAUAGAGUUCGUGUACUGUUCAUUCAUGCAUUUUCCAUGCAUAAGGAUCGUGAAAAUCCCAAUUUGCCACUUACACCACAUGUUGUGUUAAUUCACUUAAACGCUGCCUAAACAUGUUUAGGAGUGAUUAGUUAGGAGUGUAUAACAGCUACAAACGCUAACUGUUUCAGCAUAAACAACUUUCAUAUUUUUCAGAUUAGAAAUUUGCAUCAAAUUUUUUUUCUCAAAUUUCUUCAAAUUUCUUCAACACAUCCAUUUCUCUUGCUUGAUUGUCAUCAUCCUGAGAGUAUCAUUGAGCAAUUGGCACGCACGGAAUCAAGAGAAUUUGGUGCUGAAUGAAGAUGCUCGAGCUUUGAACAUUAAUGCCGUGAUUUCCAAAUUCUGGUGAAAUCAAGACGCAAGUGAACUUCAGAUUUUCCUUCAAUGCACCUUCCAAUAAUCAUUGUGUGAGAAAGCUGUAAAGCAUUCGCAUGGGCUAUAGCUCGUGCAGUUUCCAGAUUCUGCCUCAAGAAGGUUCCAAAUCGAUCUCUUAUUCUCAAAUCUAUUAUGCUAUUGUUGUAGAUCUUGUGGUUGUGGUCAUGCUGAGCUUUGAAUCAUAAAUUUUCAUGCAAAAUUGAGUUAGAUAUGCUAGAUUAAAGUUUCAUGGUUGAUUUUUUCAUUUGCUCGAUUAUAUGAAUAUAUGAUGAUCCAUGCCAUUUCCAUGCUUGAUUCAUGAUCUAUGAUGAAUAUCCUACAUGUUGAUGUGUUUAAUUCCAAAAUCUGGAAAUAUUGUUCUUGAUGUUCUUGAGAAAUCCACUGUUCAUGCAUGGCGUGUAAUGAAGAAGAUGAGUUUCAGUUUAGGCCAUUGUUUUAGAUCCUUAGAGAAUGAAAAUCUGUUGCUGCAUGUGUUGUUAGGGCUUGCAUUCUGAUUGGUCCAUUCAAAUUGCCAUGCGCGUUCCUGAUUGGUCCUUCGCUUUGACCAUGCACGUUGACUAGGCCAGCGCAUAAAUGGAACGCUGUGUUUCAUGCAGCCUGGUGCCAAUAUUUGAAUUCGUUCCCCAUUCAAUUCCGCGCCAAUGCCAUUAUUUCAAAUGCUUCUUUGAUUUUUCCUUUUUCCUCCAUGUAUUCAUACCAUGCUUCAUAUGUCAUUUUUUUUAUUUUUUCUUCAUCUUACAAAAUUCAUAUUAAUUUGAAAAAUGAUCCAAAAAUUAUGAGAUUUUUUGCAUUGUGAUCCUGAUUUUGUCUAUUAUUUUUUGAUCUUUUUUCCAUAAAUUGUGCAUGGCUAAAUAUUUUUUGGUGCUAAGAUGAUUGAACAUGUAUGAUUUCUUGACCUUGCCUUGCUAUAUCAUUGGUGAAAUGCUUGAUUCUUGUCCAAUACUUAUGAAAUUUUGCAUGCUAUAACUAGACUCAUUACUUGACAUUUUGGUGUUGAUUUGGUAUCUUUAGCAAUUACCAUUGCUGUUUUAUGAUCAUGCUAAGGUAGGUGUGACAAUUUGUGUCACACCUUGUCAUGUUCAACUUGAUUGAUGAGUUUUCCAUGCCAAAUGUUAUCCAAUUGUCCUGAUGUUUUAUAUGAUGCAUGCUAUAGAUGUUCUGAUUGCUCAUGAUUUUUGUUUGAAUUUUUGGGAUCAUUUCUGAUUUAAUUGAGAUUUUGCCUUCUGGAUGGUCACAUUUGAGCUUUUAAAUUGCCUUGAACUUCAUUUGAUUGUGAAGUGCUUGUUCCUUAUCCAUUGCUUGUGAAAUUUUGCACACUAUUUCUAGACAUGUUGAGUGUUGUUUUGGCUUUGGUUUGAGGUUUUUACCAUGAUCCAUCUCUGUUUUAUGCCUAUGCUAACUUGGUGUGACAAUUGGUGUCACACAUGUGCUUUUAAUGUGCAUUUAUUGCUUCUGAUGUCACAAUGUGGUCACAAUUUGCAUACCUUGCCAUGUUUGGUUCAUGAAAUGCUUUUGGUUAAUGAUAUUGAUAUGAGACCUUUUGGAAUGUGUUCUGGAUUGGAUAAGGAUGAUUCAUGUUAAAUUUCAUGUUCUGUUUUGAAUGUUUGACCCUCUUUUGACCUAGGCUUUGACCUAGUGGUUUGGACUCACUGUUUGGAUUGUGGAUUUCAGGUUAAGAAGCACAUUGCCAUGAUUGAAGUGGUUCACUCAUUUGGAUUGAUUAAUUGGUUGAUGUUGGUUAACCUUAUGUUGUUUUGUAGGUUGAUUCUAAGUUGUUUGUGUUGUGCCUAUUGGCUUGUGCCUUGCACACUGUUGCAUUGCUUGUCUGUCUGAUUGUAUGGAUGACUGUUGUCUGUUUGUUUGUUUGACUGGUAAACUGAUUGGUUUAGAUUUUUCGAGGUACCCUAAGUUGCUUGAGUUCUUUGAACUUGCUUUUGGCUUUGCUGUUGCUAAACCAUUGAGAUAACUCUCUUGACUCAUGAUAGUCUGGAAGACCUGUCCUGUUAUGUGGGCAGGCACCUGUCUGAAGCCCUCCUUAAGAGGCAAUGCUUGUGUUUGUUUAUCUUUGUGCUAAGCAGGAAAAGUCCUCUUAUGAGGCAAUUGGUAGAUAAAAGAGAUGUGUAAUCCAUCUCCUGCUAUUCAGUGUGUCAUCCACUUUGCUCACACCAUGUGUUGAUGCAUUGUGGAUACUAACCCAAGAUCUUAUAGAGUCAAAUCAUUUGUGGAGAAGAGUUCCAACUUUCUGAACUCCCACACCUUCUAUUGUUUAAAGCUCUCCCCGACCAGGGAUAAGAGCUAUGAGGCACACCCCUCGUCUCCAUUUCAUCUGCUUCACCCUAACUCUCAAUGUUAGGGUUAAGAGCACAAAACACCCGAUUCCAGUUGGCUUGUGUUUUACAGCCUAACCUUGUAUGAGCCCAAUUGUGUGCAUAUAAUGUGUGUGCUUGCUUUUUGUGCUUGUAUGUAUUUGCCUGUGCUGUUUAGGAUAGCUUGCUCCCUGUGCAAGUUAGAUAGAAACCUCAACCUAGGACCAUGGUGGAUUUACAUGAUAACUUAUGGGCUCGAGCAUGGGCUCCCUUCUAGUUUGUCACUCCGCAGUCUCUUGUUAGGUUGAGGUCCUUUUUCCCAGUAGAGGGACUACGUCGCCCUGAUCCAUCACUACCAGGAUGAGGUACGUAGGCAGGAGAUAGACUGAUCUCUUCGGGCGCCCUUUCUUUUCACGCCCUUGUGUGUCUGAACGUCUGCCGUAAUCCAGUGAUUGUGCGAGUUGGUUCCUGGUGUUUGUCUGCUUGUUGGAGUCUGACGUAAGUCCAGCGAUUGGCAGUUGGUUUCCUGUGUCUUGUCUUCUUGUUGGAGUCUGACGUAAGUCCAGUGAUUGGCAGUUGGUUUCCUGUGUCUUGUCUGUUUGUGUGGAGUCUGACAUAAGUCCAGCGAUUGGCAGUCGGUUUCCUGUUUGUGUUUUGUUUGGCGUGUGUUAGCCGAACUACGUCGACUCUGAUGUCUGUGCCUGACAGACUAUGUAGGCCCAGGAUGCGAUAUCCUGCCGAGUUCCGUUUCUUCCGUCUUUUCUGUGUUUCCUUCCAGCCUUGUGCAGUGUUUGAGUAGUAUCUAGCAACCUUUCUUCUAUUCUUUAUGAGCGUGGAUCCCGUCGAGUACGACGGAUGCGUAGGGGUGCUAAUACCUUCCCUUCGCAUAACCGACUCCCGAUCCCAUCUCUCUUUGGUUUGCGAGACCAUGUCUUUCCCAGGUUUACUUCGAGCGUUUCCUUUCCCUCUUUUGGGAUAAAUAACGCACGAUGGCGGAUCUGUUGUUUCGUUUUCCUGCCGGUUUUUCGCGUAAUGCGACAACUGGCGACUCUACUGGGGAAAUAGAGAAGUUGACCUCCUCCUGGUCCAUCUUCCCUAAGCGAGUCUCUCUUAGCGCUCUCUAGGAUAGGGUUUGGUUGCUUUUGCUGUUUCAUUUAUUGCAUUCAUUUAUUUAUUGUUUGCAUUUAUGUUUGCAUUUUUGUUUGCAUUCAUUACAUAUUCAUCUGUGCUGGCUGUGCUGUGUUGUCUCUCUAUUGGGGUGGGAGUUACAUGAGGUAAAAGGCCCAAUACCCAGGCUAUGAGUGAAAUCUAGGACACCUAGGAAUAGAGUGAUUCAUGGGAAGCGGGUGUAAUGCGCCACUUAGUCGAGAACAUUGAAUCACGAGCAUUCCAGACUCUGAUGGGGUAUAAUUUCCCCGUUUACAUACUUCGGGUGUGGAUAUAUGAUGAUAUUCUAUGAAAGGGUUAUUUAUGCUGCGUUUCUCUCAACCUUACCCUGGCCUAGAUGACACCCGUGAGUGGGGAGGGAAUGAUCAUUAUUACAGGUACAGUUGGUGACUUGUUAGUGACUUGUUGGUGACUUGUUGGUGACUUGUCGGUGACUUGUGGUCUUGUUGGUGACUUGGUUCUUUAGAUAUGGGUCUCAGAUGAUUUUUGGGUCUCAGAUGAUUUUUGGGUCUCAGAUGAAUUUGUGAUUCUGAGUUCAAGCCGAAGCUUUGAUCCUGUGCUCCGAGAUACACAGCCAACCAAUCUUGUCUGCAUCAUUUGCAUCAUAGCAUGUUUAUUUUCAAAAAAAUAAUGCAAUAAAAAAAAAAUUGAAAAAAAGAGAAAAAAAAAAGAAAAAGCUAAUCUCUUUAUGCAUAUCAUUUCUCAGGUUCAUUCAGGGGUCUAUUCAUUGUGAGAGAUGACAUCCGUUACCGAGUUGAAGCGGAAGACUUGUUCCUACAGUUUUCAUCGUGAGCCUUUGACGUCCCUGAUAGAGUUGAGCAACCUUGUGACCAGUGGUAAUCAGUAGAUGUUUGUUGAUCAGUAUGGGGAUUUGUUGACACUAUUGAAGAUGGUGGUAGAUCCAGUGCCGUUGCAAACUCUUCUACAGUUCUACGACCCAGAGCUCCAUUGCUUCACUUUCCAGGACUAUCAGUUAGCGCCCACUCUUGAAGAGUAUUCCAUUCUGUUGAAUGUCCCGAUCCGGUAUCAGGUUCCUUUCUUGGAGGUGCCUAAGGAGGUUGAUUUCAGAGUUGUCUCCAGAGCUUUUCAUCUGAGUAUUAAGGAAGUGAGCGAUAAUUGGAAAUCCAGUGGGGAUGUUAUGGGUUUGCCUUUGAAGUUCCUGUUGAGGAUAGCAAGAGAAGAAGUAGAGAAGGGAAAUUGGGAAGCUUUUCAUGCUCAGUUGGCUAUUAUGAUAUAUGGGAUUGUCUUGUUCCCGAGUAUGCCCAACUUUGUGGAUUAUGUUGCAGUCACUAUCUUCAUUGGAGGAAACCCAGUUCCUACUUUGUUAGCUGACACUUACUAUGCUAUUCACAGUAGGCAUGGUAAGGGUGGAGCUAUCAGAUGUUGCCUUCCGCUGUUGCUCAGAUGGUUCUUGUCUCUCCUGCCAGUCAGUGGACCUUUUGUGGAUGCUCAGAGCACUCAUAAGUGGACUCAGAGGGUUAUGUCUCUUACAUCUUAUGAUAUCAGAUGGCAGUCUUACUGGAUGGAUGUGCGUAAUGUCAUCAUGAGUUGUGGAGAGUUCCGUAAUGUGCCACUUGUAGGGACUAAGGGUUGCAUCAAUUACAAUCCAGUUCUUUCUCUUCGCCAGUUGGGGUUUGUGAUGAAUGGAAGACCACUUGAUGCUGAGAUAGCUAAGAGUGUGUAUUUUGAGAAGCGGAGUGACCCUGCUAGAUUGGAGCAGAUAGGAAGAGCUUGGAAGACCAUUGGUGUCAAGGAUGGAGCUGUUCUGGGGAAGAAGUUUGCAGUUGCUAUGCUUGAUUACACUGAGUGGGUCAAGAAGAGAGUGGAAACUUUGUUGUUGCCCUAUGAUAGGAUGAAGCCUUUGCAAGUGCAACCACCUUUGAUCCUUGCUGAGAGCGUACCUGCUGAGCAGUACAAGCAAGCCCUAAUGGAGAAUCGCCGGUUGAAAGAGAAGGAACAAGAUACCCAGAUGGAGCUUUACAAAGCCAAAACUGAUAGGUUAAACUUGGCUCAUCAACUCAGAGACAUGCAGGGUGUAGAUGCUAGUGGAGUAAAAGGCAAGAAGAGAUCUUAUGAGGAGAUGGAGGCCUUGUUGAAUGCAGAACACCGUGAGUGUUUGAGGUUGCAGAGAGCUGAAGCCAGUUAUCAGAAGAAGAUAAGAGACUUGGAGAAGCAACUCAGAGACAAAGACGUCCAGUUGAAGAAGGAAGUAGACUCGAGACACGCAUCAGAGAGCUAACUUGGAGGAGAAGUUGUGGAGCUCAGAAGACAAUUGAAGGAGAAGCUCACUCCCCUGCCAGAAUGCUCAGAGUGUGACCUGUUGAUAGACCAGUGCCACUACCUGAAGACUCUCAUUCCUGGAAGCCAUUUGUCUUAGCUCGCAUCUCUAUUGUUUAUGUUGAGAAUCACCUCCAGGCUUGUUGGAUGGGAUUCAUUGUUGUACUCCGAGUAUUUGGAUCUUUGUUGACUUUGUUGUAUGAUCCUUGUUGCUCAUAUCUAUAGAUGGAGAUUGUUGGUUUCGCCUUGUGCUCAUUACUCUUGUGUAUGUUGUUUCCUUGUUGUGUAUUGCAGGUUGCCAUUUCUUGAAGUGAAUCGGGCUCUUUGAAUGCCUGAGAAAUGAACAUAUCAUGUGCAUCAUACGCAUCAUAAGCAUCAUACACAUAUCAUUUUGCAUUACAUGUGCUCUUGCUCGAGACUUCUCACUCUGGUUCCUGUGUCAGGCAGGAUAGCUGAUCAACGACCGCACCGCUACUCAACCAGAUUGAAUCAUCAGAGGAAUAUGGACCAGGUUCAAGCAGAAUUGGCUGAGAUGAGGGCUAACAUGGCCCAAUUUAUGACUAUGAUGCAAGGGGUUGUUCAGGGGCAAGAGGAGCUGCGUGCCUUAGCCCAGAGACAGGAAGCUGUGCUCCCACCGCCUAGUCGUGCUUCACCAGUGGGUGCACCUGUUAAUGAGAAUGUUGCUGCUACUGCUCCCGUCAAUGAUUACGCUGUAGGGGAUGAAUUGAGGGGUAUCAGAAUCAAUGGACAGCCUCUUGCUGCAAAGACUGUUAAUGCCAGAGCUACCCGGGCUCCGAUUCGCCAUCCUGCUCCGUUGGUUGACAGGCAGGAGGACAUGUUCACACUGCUCAGUGAAGACGAUGAUGUAGUGAGAGUUGAAGAGAGGGACCGUAAAGUUGAUGCCCUUGCUGAGAAAAUCAGAGCUAUGGAAUGUCAUAAUUCCCUGGGGUUUGAUGUGACCAAUAUGGGUCUGGUAGAAGGGUUGAGAAUUCCCUACAAGUUCAAAGCGCCAUCAUUUGAUAAAUACAACGGUACUUCUUGUCCUCACACCCAUGUGCAGGCUUACUACAGGAAAAUCUCUGCUUAUACAGAUGAUGAGAAAAUGUGGAUGUACUUCUUCCAGGAUAGCUUAUCUGGGGCUUCCUUGGAUUGGUACAUGGAGCUUAAGAGAGAUUCUAUCCGAAACUGGAGAGAUCUGGGUGAGGCCUUCCUGAGGCAGUACAAACAUAAUAUGGACAUGGCGCCGAGCCAGACUCAGUUGCAGAGUCUUUGUCAAAAAUCUGGCGAGAGCUUCAAGGAGUACGCCCAGAGGUGGCGUGAGUUGGCUGCAUGAGUACAACCCCCUAUGCUGGAGAGGUAGUUGACAGACAUGUUUAUCGGUACCUUACAGGGAGUAUUCAUGGACCGGAUGGGAAGUUGCCCAUUCAGUAGUUUCUCGGAUGUUGUAAUAUGUGGGGAGAGGACAGAAAGCUUAAUCAAAGCCAGGAAGAUUCAGGAUGCUGGUUCCUCAUCUUCCAAGAAACCAUUUGCCGAGGCACCUCGCAGGAGAGAGGGGGAAACCAAUGCUGUGCAACAUUGAAGGAGUACAAACAGAAAUCAGUAUCGCCAGGUUGCUGCUGUAACCAUUCCGGCACCUCAACCUCGUCAACAGCAACAACAGAGAGUACAACCACCACCACCACCACAACAACAACAGCAACGUCCGUAUCAGCCGAGACAGAGGAUGCCUGAUCGACAUUUUGAUCCGCUGCCGAUGACCUAUGCUGAGUUGCUACCUGAGUUGCUCAGAUUGGGAUUCGUAGAGUUGCGUACAAUGGCUCCGUUGACAAAAAUACCACCUGGGUAUGAUGCCAACGUGCGUUGUGAUUUCCAUUCUGGUGCACCGGGGCACCAUAUUGAGAACUGCCGGGCUUUUCAUCAUAAGGUCCAGGACCUAAUUGACGCUAAAACUAUCAAUUUUGCUCCUGUGCCGAAUGUUGUAAACAAUCCUAUGCCUCAGCAUGGUGCGCAUAAGGUAAACAAUGUUGAAGACGGUGGGGAAGCUGAAGACUUGGUGGUCAGUGUGGAGGAGAUUCAGACUCCGUUGGUUAUUGUGAAGGACCGUCUGUUGAAAGGGGGCGUAUUCCCGGGCUGUUGUGAGGGUUGUAUAGACUGUGCAGAGUCAGAGAAUGGUUGUGAACAAUUGAGGGAUGGUAUUCAGAAUCUGAUCGAUGAGGGCUGUUUGCAGUUUAGUCGGGCCGUUAAAGAACGGGGGGUGGUGUUAAUCGUCACUAUAUAUUUCAAACCGUCCGAUGGACGUGGCCAGAGAAUUGUUAAUGCGCCUACAACUAGUGGUACUCCUGUUACCAUUUCUGCUCCUGUAACCGUCAGUACUCCAACUACAAUCGUUGCUUCGGGCAGAAGGGCUGUUGAAAAUAGUAGGGCUGUGCCAUGGAAAUAUGACAAUGCUUACCGCAGCAAUCGAAGGGCUGAGAGUCAGCUUAGGCCAGUGAAUCAGUCUCCUGUGACUAUUGGUGUGCCUAGUAGGACUCCUGUGAUUGCAAGUCCAGUUGUGGACAAUGUUGGGGGACCCGGAGGUUUCACCAGAAGUGGACGUCUGUUUGCUCCACAGUGAAUCAGUCUCCUGUGACUAUUGGUGUGCCUAGUAGGACUCCUGUGAUUGCAAGUCCAGUUGUGGACAAUGUUGGGGGACCCGGAGGUUUCACCAGAAGUGGACGUCUGUUUGCUCCACAACCAUUGAGAGAUAACAAUGCUGAGGCUCUCGCCAAGGCUAAAGGUAAGCAGGUUGUGGUUGAUGAGGAGCCUGCUCAGAAGGAGGCGCCUGAGGGUUCGUUUGAGAAAGACGUGGAGGAGUUCAUGAAAAUAAUUAAGAAGAGUGACUACAAGAUUGUAGAUCAGCUGAGUCAGACUCCGUCCAAGAUUUCUAUCCUCUCAUUGCUUCUGUGCUCUGAGGCACACCGUAAUGCCUUGUUGAAGAUGCUGAAUCUGGCUUACGUGCCUCAAGAGAUCUCUGUCAAUCAACUGGAGGGUGUGAUUGCCAACGUAAGUACUAGGCAUGGUGUGGGGUUCACAGAUCUGGACUUGACGCCUGAGGGUCGCAACCAUAACAAGGCCUUGCAUAUCACCAUGGAAUGCAAAGGCGCAGUGUUGUCUCACGUGUUGGUAGACACUGGCUCGUCGUUGAACGUGUUGCCUAAGAAGAUCCUGGGUAAGAUUGAUGUGGAAGGGGUUGUCCUUACUCCGAGUGAUCUGAUUGUUCGUGCUUUUGAUGGAUCCAAACGGUCUGUUUUUGGUGAAGUCACAUUGCCGGUGAAGAUUGGCCCGGAGGUUUUUGACAUUAUCUUCUAUGUGAUGGAUAUCCAGCCCGCCUAAGUUGUUUGUUGGGGCGCCUUGGAUUAUCACUCGCUGGGGACAGUUUCGUCAACUCUCCAGCCAGAAGUAUGGCAAUAUUGUCUGCGAAAACGGUUCCAGAUUGUGACUUGUGUGCGGUGAAGAAGAUAUUCUGGUGAGUCACCUAUCUCUUCAAGUAUGUAGAGGUGGAUGGCGAGAUCCAUGAAACUCUAUGCCAGGCAUUCGAGACCGUUGCUCUUGAGAGGGUGGCUUUUGCUGAGCAGAAGAAGCCAAGUGCCUCAAUUGCAUCGUACAAGCAGGCGGUAGAGGUUGUCAACUCUGGUAAAGCAGAAGGCUGGGGAAAGAUGGUGGAUUUGCCUAUCAAAGAAGAUAAGUUCGGAAUUGGCUAUCAACAUCUGCCGGCGGAGCAGGGUGUGCAGACAGGUCCGAGUACCUUUACCAGCGCUGGGCUGAUGAAUCACGGUGAUGUCUUUGCAGCCAGUAGUGAAGACGGUGACAGUGAUUGUGAUCUGGAUGACUGGGUUCGCCCGUGUGCACCAGGGGAGUCGAUCAACAACUGGACAGCAGAAGAUGUGGUCCAAGUUACUCUUCAAACAAAGUAAUUUUCUUUUGUUUUUCAUUUUGCACAAAACCCUACGUUCUGCCCAAGGCGUAGUGGUUCAUUGUAGGGCCUCAUCAUGUUUUUCAAUGAUAUCAUUAAUUUUUCAUUUUGCACAAAACCCUACGUUCUGCCCAAGGCGUAGUGGUUCAUUGUAGGGCCUCAUCAUGUUUUUCAAUGAUAUCAUUAAUAAAGGACGUUUUGCAAACAAUUUUGUGAUCCAUGUCUUACUAUUUUUGUUUUCAUUUUUCAAGAAAAAUAAAAAUGGCAAUGUUUUUGUUUUUUGUGACUUUCUUGAACUCUUUUUCUAAAAUAAAGCAUUAAACAUGCAUAAGUGAUCUCACGGAAUCCACUGUGAACAGUUCUGUUAUGGCUCAGUAUGAUUUCAAUAAUCCCAUCUACCAAGCUGAAGAGGAGAGUGAGGAAGACUGUGAACUCCCUAAAGAAUUGGUCAGAUUGUUGAAGCAGGAGGAAAAGGUCAUCCAACCUCAUCAGGAGGAGUUGGAGAUUGUUAAUCUUGGUACUGAGGAUGCCAGAAAAGAUAUUAAGAUCGGGGCUGCUUUGAAGGAAGAUGUCAAGAGAAGGUUGAUUGAAAUGCUGAGAGAAUAUGUGGAGAUAUUCGCCUGGUCGUAUCAAGAUAUGCCUGGUUUGGAUACAAAUAUUGUGGUGCACAUGCUACCUCUCAGAGAAGAUUGUCCUUCAGUCAAGUAGAAGCUUCGCAGAACGAGUCCUGAUAUGGCUGUUAAGAUCAAGGAAGAAGUUCAGAAGCAGUUGGACGCGGGUUUUCUGUCAGUGACUACUUAUCCCCCGUGGGUGGCCAACAUCGUUCCCGUGCCGAAGAUGGAUGGUAAAGUCAGAAUGUGUGUCGAUUACCGGGAUUUGAACAGAGCGAGUCUGAAAGAUGAUUUCCCAUUACCUCAUAUUGAUGUAUUGGUUGAUAAUACGGCUCAAUCCUCGGUUUUCUCUUUCAUGGAUGGUUUUUCAGGCUAUAAUCAGAUUAAGAUGGCGCCAGAGGACAUGGAAAAGACGACAUUCAUUACACCUUGGGGCACGUUUUGCUAUAAGGUGAUGCCAUUUGGGCUGAAGAAUGCCGGUGCUACCUAUCAAAGGGCUAUGACGACUCUCUUUCAUGACAUGAUGCACAAAGAGAUUGAAGUGUACGUGGAUGAUAUGAUUGCGAAGUCGCAGACAGAAGAGGAGCACCUGGUAAAUUUGCAGAAGUUGUUUGACAGGCUGAGAAAAUUCAAACUGAGGCUGAAUCCAAACAAGUGUACGUUUGGAGUGAGAUCCGGGAAGCUGUUAGGCUUCAUUGUCAGUGAGAAAGGGAUUGAGGUUGAUCCAGCAAAAGUCAAAGCUAUUCAAGAAAUGCCUGAACCGAAAACAGAAAAGCAGGUUCGUGGGUUUUUAGGGAGAUUGAACUACAUUGCAAGGUUUGUAUCUCACCUAACUGCCACGUGUGAACCGAUAUUCAAAUUGCUAAGAAAGAAUCAAGCAAUCAGGUGGAAUGAUGACUGUCAGAAAGCUUUUGACAAGAUAAAAGAGUAUUUACAGAAACCUCCAAUCCUUAUUCCUCCAGUUCCUGGGAGACCCCUGAUAAUGUACCUGUCAGUGACCGAGAAUUCGAUGGGGUGUGUAUUGGGACAGCAUGACGAGUCUGGUCGAAAAGAGCAUGCCAUAUACUACCUUAGCAAAAAGUUUACCGACUGUGAAAUCAAAUAUUCACAGCUUGAGAAAACUUGCUGUGCUUUGGCCUGGGCUGCUCGCCGACUGAGGCAGUAUAUGUUGAACCAUACUACCUUAUUGAUUUCUAAGAUGGAUCCAGUGAAAUACAUCUUUGAGAAGCCGGCUCUCACUGGACGUGUUGCCCGUUGGCAGAUGAUUUUAACAGAAUAUGAUAUUCAGUACACGUCGCAGAAGGCCAUCAAAGGUAGUAUUCUGUCAGACUACCUCGCUGAGCAACCGAUUGAUGAUUAUCAGCCGAUGAUGUUUGAAUUCCCUGAUGAAGACAUCAUGUAUCUGAAGAUGAAAGAUUGUGAAGAGCCUCUUGUCGAGGAAGGACCGGAUCCUGAUGACAAGUGGACAUUGAUGUUUGAUGGGGCUGUGAAUAUGAAUGGAAACAGUGUUGGGGCAGUGCUUAUUAAUCCUAAAGGUGCUCAUAUACCUUUUUCUGCUAGAUUGACUUUUGAUGUCACCAACAACGAGGCUGAGUAUGAGGCUUGCAUCAUGGGGAUAGAAGAAGCCAUCAAUUUGAGGAUCAAAACUCUUGACAUUUAUGGAGAUUCCGCUCUAGUGAUCAACCAGGUCAAUGAAGAUUGGAAUACUAAUCAGCCGCAUUUGAUUCCUUACAGAGAUUACACCAGAAGAAUACUGACGUUCUUCAAGAAGGUGAAGCUGUAUCAUGUCCCCCAGGAUGAAAAUCAGAUGGCUGAUGCCUUGUCUACUUUGUCGUCUAUGACCAAAGUUCAUUGGUGGAAUCAUGUGCCACAUGUUGCGGUGAAUCGACUCGAGAGGCCUGCGUAUGUGUUUGCAGCCGAGUCUGUUGUUGAUGAGAAGCCGUGGUACUAUGAUAUCAAGAAUUUCCUCAAGAGUCAGGAGUAUCCUGAAGGAGCGUCGAAGAAUGAUAAGAAAACCCUGAGAAGGCUAGCUGGAAGCUUUUAUUUGAAUCAGGAUGAUGUGUUGUACAAGAGGAACUUCGACAUGGUUCUGCUCAGAUGCGUGGAUAGACACGAAGCAGACAUGUUGAUGCAAGAAGUGCAUGAAGGAUCUUUUGGUACCCAUGCUGGUGGUCAUGCAAUGUCCAAGAAAUUGUUGAGAGCCGGUUAUUACUGGAUGACUAUGGAAUCCGAUUGUUUCAAGUACGCUCGGAAGUGCCAUAAAUGCCAGAUUUAUGCUGAUAAGGUGCAUGUACCACCAAGCCCUCUGAACGUCAUGAAUUCGCCUUGGCCGUUCGCCAUGUGGGGCAUUGAUAUGAUUGGGAAGAUUGAGCCCACUGCUUCUAAUGGACAUCGCUUCAUCCUGGUUGCGAUUGAUUACUUCACCAAGUGGGUGGAAGCAGCCUCCUAUGCUAAUGUUACCAAACAAGUGGUUGCCCGGUUCAUUAAGAAGGAAAUCAUCUGUCAUUAUGGAGUUCCUGAGAGAAUCAUUACUGAUAAUGGUUCGAAUCUCAAUAACAAGAUGAUGAAGGAGCUUUGUAAAGAUUUCAAGAUUGAACAUCACAAUUCUUCUCCUUACAGACCAAAGAUGAAUGGUGUUGUAGAGGCGGCGAACAAGAAUAUCAAGAAGAUUGUACAGAAGAUGGUCGUGACGUACAAGGAUUGGCAUGAGAUGCUGCCUUUCGACUUGCAUGGGUAUCGUACCUCAGUACAUACGUCGACCGGGGCAACCCCGUACUCCCUUGUGUAUGGUAUGGAAGCUGUCCUACCAGUUGAAGUGGAGAUUCCUUCUCUGAGAGUCUUGUUGGAUGUCAAGCUUGACGAAGCUGAGUGGAUUCGAACAAGGUUUAACGAGUUGAGCCUUAUCGAGGAAAGACGGUUAGCAGCUGUAUGCCAUGGGCAGUUGUAUCAGAGAAGGAUGAAGAGAGCCUUUGAUCAGAAAGUGCGUCCUCGAAGCUAUCAAACUGUUGAUCUAGUUUUGAAGAGGAUCCUUCCUCCCGGUACAGAUAACAGGGGCAAAUGGACUCCUAAUUAUGAAGGUCCAUAUGUUGUUAAGAAGGUUUUCUCCGGUGGAGCCUUGAUGCUUACAACUAUGGAUGGUGAAGAUUUUCCGUCCCCUGUUAACUCAGAUGUAGUCAAAAAAUACUUCGCGUAAAUUGACCCGCUGGACAAAAAGAAUAAAAGAGUCCAGGCAAAAAAGGGCAUCCCGGCGAACCAAAAAAAAAGAAAAGAAAAGGUUCGGGCAAAAGUUAGGGAUAAAAAGAAUGAAAAGAAUUUGUACACCCGGUAAGUCGAAAACCCGCAAGGGCGGCUUAGGCAAAAAUGGGUAUCCCGGUGGAUUGAAAACCCGGAAGGGCGAUCUAGGCAAAAGAGGGAUUAAAGGGAAGACUACAGUCUGAGUGAUCUGUACUUCAUCGCGCUUCAACGUCUGCCAUCUUGAAAGAUGUGAUCGGUCCAAUCAUUCUUCUCAGAAAGCAAGGAAGUUGGGAGGAAAACUGAUGAUCUGUGAGUUAUAACAGAAUUGGGAAAUAGUGGAUGCCGUGUUCACAUUGCCAUUAGGAUAGAUUUUUCCUUUUGUGCGCAAUUACCUCUUUCUAGGAAUUGCUUCCCGAUGUAUUCGCCUUUUCAGGCCCAUUUUUAAUCAAUAAAAAGUCGUUAUUCAGAUAAAUUGCUCUCUUGUUUUUAUUUUUACUAUUUUGUUUGCAAAAACGUCCGAAUUUUUGAUAAACAUUGCAUAUAAAAACAUGAAGGCUAGACAAUAACGUGCAGAAAGAUAAAACAUUUGAAAAUCAUUUUGAAUGUUGAGGACACUUGAGCGUAUCUUGUCCAUGCAACCCCAUGGAGCAUGUUUGUCUUGUUUGCAGGUUAUCUCCUGGCUGAACAGUAGCCUUGGUUUUGUUCAGGGAUGUGUCAGCACUAUCUGGAAGUGCAAGAGGAUGGGGAUAUUCCCCAGCAGUUGAAGCAAGUUCGAGACUUGUCUCCCCAAAGUAAUCAAGAUCAGGAAUUCCUCAGCCGGAUUGAGGAUGAUUCCCCAGUAGGCUUGGAAGUGACUGUUUCCCCAAGCAAGUCGGAAGGCUAUCAGAAUUAUUAUUUUCCCCUGCAAAGACGUCUGUGGAAUUUCUUUCCCCAGCAGGUCUAAAGUUUUAACUCCCCAACAAGCCCGGGAGUGGGUUUAUUCCCUGCUAAGUUUGAAGAUUGGGAAUCCCCACUGUUUCUGAAGAUGUUACUCCCCACCGAAGUGGAAGGUUGUUAUCCCCAGCGGAGGUGUUAGUGGAGUUUAUUCCCCAGCAGUCUGGUUUGAAGUACUGCUAUCCCCAGCGUGGUUGUGAACGCUUUUCCCCGGCAGUGUUGUGGAUGCCUAUCCCCAGCAUGGUCUGGUAUAUUAUUUCCCCAACAGAGUUAUGUCUUUCCCCGUCAGGGUUGAAGUUGUUUUCCCCUAGCGGAUCUCUCUAGCAGAGGGUUUGUGUUGAUGGUUUUCCCCAGCAGGUUCCCCGAGUAGAUCAGGUGCGGCGGAAAUUAUCUCCAGCAGAGUUUAUCCUACCUGUGGAUUGGGUCGUCCCCGGUAAGUCGCUUUUGGUUGUUUCCCUAGCAGAGUCCCCGAGUGGAUUGGGAUCCUUUUCCCAGCAGCAUGUUCCUCUCAAACAUGAGUGAGAAGGUGGUUUUACUCCCCGCAGAGUAUUCCUCAGACAGAGUAUCCCCACAGAGUUGGAGAAUCUAAUCAUUUUGCUUCCCCAGCAGAAGUUUUCAUCAUUUUGCAUUUUGCAUGUAGUGAUCAUUGCAUCCUCAAAUCGCGUAGCAUUUCCAUUCAAUAUGGAGCAUUACGCCAUAGAAAAAUUCAAACAUAUGCAUUCAUGUGUUGAAACUUAAUUUGCAUUUUGCAUGUAGUGAUCAUUGCAUCCUCAAAUCGCGUAGCAUUUCCAUUCAAUAUGGAGCAUUACGCCAUAGAAAAAUUCAAACAUAUGCAUUCAUGUGUUGAAACUUAAUCAGACCAUAUUCCCAGCAGAGGCGGAUCGUUGUUUAACAUCUGUACGACACGUUUGCUACAGCUGCUCCUGACAGCAUUCAGGAUUGAUAUUCCCCAGAGAGGUUUAUUUCCUCGUCUGUGAAAGGAAAGCUUGAUUCUCCCCAGUGAAAUCCCCAGCAAGUGUUUAGCCUUGCCUUGACAUAUCGAAGAUGUCGUUCUUGUGAUACCGGUAAGUGUCAUGUUUGCACCCUUGUAUGUCCCUUUCUUUGGUGUCGGUAAACACCAUUCUUUCGGUGUCGGUAAACAUCGAGCCCUAUUCCAUUCACCGGUCAAUGUCUGGUCUCUUUUGUUUGAUGUCGGUAAACAUCAUCUUUCGAUGUGCGUAACAUCUGUCCUUUCCCCAGGUCAUCCGUUGAUGUCUGGUCACCUCUCGGUUGGUGUCGAUAAACGUUGAGUUUUUCCUAUUCGUCCGUUGACGUAUAGUGGUACCCUUCCCCAGAAUUCACCUCUCCGUUGGUGUCGAUAAACGUUGAGUUUUUCCUAUUCGUCCGUUGACGUCUAGUUGUAUCUCUUCCCCACAGGUCAUCUGUUGAUGUUUGGUCACCUCUCCGUUGGUGUCGAUAAACGUUGAGUUUUUCCCAUUCGUCCGUUGACGUCUGGUUGUAUAUCUUGUUUCCCAGUCAUCGGUAAAUAUAUGGUCUUUUUUUUGUUUGAUGUCGGUAAACAUCAUCUUUCGAUGUCGGUAAACGUCGAUUCUCAUCCCAGUCAUCGAUAAAUGUCUGGUCGCCUUUCUUUGAUGUCGGUAAACAUCAUCUUUCGAUGUCGGUAAACGUCGAGUAUUUUCCCCAGUCAUCGGUAAAUGUCUGGUUGUUCCCAAGCCAGAAAUCCCCAGUAGAGUCGUCGGUAAACGUCCUAUCUGGUUUCCGGUUGCAAAUACCUUUUUCCUUCCCCAGUGAAGUGUUCACCUCUCCGUUGGUGUCGAUAAACGUCGAGCUUCUCCCAUUCGUCCGUUGACGUCUGGUCGAGUCCUUCCCAGUCAUUCGUUAAUGUUUGUUCACCUCUCCGUUGGUGUCGAUAAAUGUCGAGCUUCUCCCGUUCGUUCGUUGAUGUCUGGUCGAGUAUUUCCCAGUCAUUCGUUAAUGUCUGUUCACCUCUCCGUUGGUGUCGAUAAACGUCCAGCUUCUCCCGUUCGUCCAUUGACGUCUGGUCGAGUCCUUCCCAUUCAUCCGUUGAUGUUUGGUCACCUCUCCGUUGGUGUCGAUAAACGUUGAGUUUUUCCCAUUCGUCUGUUGACGUUUGGUUGUACUUUUCCUUUGAUAAAAAUCAAAAUCCCCAGUAGUGUCGUCAGUAAAUGUCUUGUCUGGUUCAGUGACUAACAUCAGAUCCCAGUGGAAGUUGUCCUUGGUGGACAGUCCUUUCUUGGAUCCCCGCAGAGUGCAAAUUUCUACGGUUCUUUGGUAUUCAAUCCCUGUUUACCCUGAAGGUCUGACAGCCGUUGCUCUCAUCCGUUCAGGUUCCCAGUUGAUUGAAUAGGGGCAGCUGAACGGUUCUUUGGUAUUCAAUCCCUGUUUACCCUGAAGGUCUGACAGCCGUUGCUCUCAUCCGUUCAGGUUCCCAGUUGAUUGAAUAGGGGCAGCUGUAGCACCUCAAAUUUGCACCUCCCAUUUGUAUAUACAUUUUCAUGUUUAGGUCAUUAACAUUGCAUUGUUCAUUGCAUUAGUCCAUCAAGUGAUCAGGCAAGACUGGUUAGAAGACUCAACUGUGCAAGGCAACAAGAGCAUUAUCCAUGAGAUCAAAGCCCUAGGGUUGGCACAAUGAGUUCAUGUGACCCAAGGAUCAUCUUGAAGUGGUUUGGCCAAGAAUUGAAGGCUCAGAGCUCAUCAGUCCAUGUGCAAUUCAUCUGAAACCCUAAAAAGUCAACAGAAGUCAACUGUCAAUUCAACUAUGGAUUUGGAGGUGGGAAAUGGUUAGAGAUGCCUCAAUCAUGUGUGAACAAGUCUCAUUUGACAUUUCAAACAUCAACAUUGAAGGAUUUGAAGUCAGUUCAAGACUUCCCCAAAAUAGUAAGUGACCUAUAAUUUGAACUUUCCAAAAAUGGAAAGGUUUUGGACCAACUUCAACUCAAGAUUACAUCAUCAAGAAAGCUUCAAAUGAAAUUUUGUCCAACAUGAAAGUUGAAGAUCUUUCUCUCCCAUUUCCAAAAAGUCCAAGAUCAUGAAUUUCUCAUGUGUGGUUGANNNNNNNNNNNNNNNNNNNNNNNNNNNNNNNNNNUUAUUGUGACCUCUAGUUUCCAAAUCUUGCAUUACAUGGAAUGCAUUAUCAUCAUAUAAACAUUUGCCAUUUUACUUGAUUUUUGGAGGGAAAAAUUGAAGUUUAAAAUUGGUGCAUUAUUUAGACAUUUUGCCUUCACCAAUGAUUUUAAAAAUGCAUUUUAGGUGAAAAUAAAUAGAGUUCGUGUACUGUUCAUUCAUGAUUUUCAUGCAUAGGGUGAAAAUCCCAAUUUGCACUUACACCACAUUUUGUUAAUUCCACUUAACCAUUGGCCUAAACAUGAUUAGGGAGUGAUUAGUAGGAGGUAUAAAGCUAAAACCCUAACUGUUUCAGCAUUAACAACAACUCAUUUUUCAGAUCUAGAAAUUUUCAUCAAAUUUUUUCUCAAAAAUUUCUUCAAAUUUCUUCAAACAACAUCCAUUUCUCUUGCUUGAUUCAUCAUCCUGAAGUAUCAUUGAGCAAUUUGGCACGAGGAAUCAAGAGAUUUGGUGCUGAAUGGAAGCAUGCUCGAAGCUUUGAACAUUAAUGGUGAAUUCCAAUUCUGGUGAAAUCAAGAGCAAUUGAACUUCAAUUUUCCUUCCAAUCACCUCAAUAAUCAUUGUAGAGAAGCUGUAAAGCAUUGCCAUGGCCUAUAGCUCGUGAUUUCCAGAUCUGCACUUCAAGAGGUUCCAAAUCGAUCUCUCUAUUUCUCAAAUCUAUUAUGCUAUUGUUGUAGAUCUUGUGGUUGUGGUCAUGCUGAGCUUUGAAUCAUAAAUUUUCAUGCAAAAUUGAGUUAGAUAUGCUAGAUUAAAGUUUCAUGGUUGAUUUUUUCAUUUGCUCGAUUCUAUGAAUAUAUGAUGAUCCAUGCCAUUUCCAUGCUUGAUUCAUGAUCUAUGAUGAAUAUCCUACAUGUUGAUGUGUUUAAUUCCAAAUUCUGGAAAUAUUGUUCUUGAUGUUCUUGAGAAAUCCACUUUUCAUGCAUGGCGUGUAAUGAAGAAGAUGAGUUUCAGUUUAGGCCACGGUUUUAGAUCCUUAGAGAACGAAAAUUUGUUGCUGCAUGUGUUGUUAGGGCUUGCAUUCUGAUUGGUCCAUUCAAAUUGCCAUGCGCGUUCCUGAUUGGUCCUUCGCUUUGACCAUGCACGUUGACUAGGCCAACACAUAAAUGGAACGCUGCGUUUCAUGCAGCCUGGCGCCAAUAUUUGAAUUCGUUCCCCAUUCGAUUCCGCGCCAAUGCCAUUAUUUUAAAUGCUUCUUUGAUUUUUCAUUUUUCCUCCAUGUAUUCAUACCAUGCUUCAUAUGUCAUUUUUUUAUUUUUUCUUCAUAUUACAAAAUUCAUAUUAAUUUGAAAAAUGACCCAAAAAUUAUGAGAUUUUUUGCAUUGUGAUCCUGAUUUUGUCUAUUAUUUUUUGAUCUUUUUUCCAUAAACUGUGCUUGGCUGAAUAUGUUUUGGUGCUAGGAUGAUUGGACAUGUAUGAUUUCUUGACCUUGCCUUGCUAUAUCAUUGGUGAAAUGCUUGAUUCUUGUCCAAUGCUUAUGAAAUUUUGCAUGCUAUAACUAGACUCAUUGCUUGACAUUUUGGUGUUGAUUUGGUAUUUUUAUCAAUUACCAUUGCUGUUUUAUGAUCAUGCUAAAUCAUUGCUUGACAUUUUGGUGUUGAUUUGGUAUUUUUAUCAAUUACCAUUGCUGUUUUAUGAUCAUGCUAAGGUAGGUGUGACAAUUUGUGUCACACCUUGUGAUGUUCAACUUGAUUGAUGAGUUUGCCAUGCCAAAUGUUAUCCACUUGUCCUGAUCUUUUGUAUGAUGCAUGCUAUAGAUGUUGUGAUUGCUCAUGAUUUUUGUUGGAAUUUUUGGGAUCAUUUCUGAUUUAAUUGAGAUUUUGCCUUCUGGAUGGUCACAUUUGAGCUUUUAAAUUGCCUUGAACUUCAUUUGAUUGUGAAAUGCUUGUUCCUUAUCCAUUGCUUGUGAAAUUUUGCACACUAUUUCUAGACAUGUUGAGUGUUGUUUUGGAUUUAGUUUGAGGUUUUUACCAUGAUCCAUCUCUGUUUUAUGCCUAUGCUAACUUGGUGUGACAAUUGGUGUCACACAUGUGCUUGUUGUGCUUGUCUUGACUUAUGCUAUGUGAUUGCCAUGCCUAAUGAUGUCCAAUGCCUCUAAUUUUUUUGUGUGAUGAUCAUGUUGUAUGUCCUAUUUACUCAUGAAUUUUUCCAAGAUUAUUUGAAUCAUUUUUGAUUUAAUGUGCAUUUAUUGCUUCUGAUGUCACAAUGUGGUCACAAUUUGCAUACCUUGCCAUGUUUGGUUCAUGAAAUGCUUUUGGUUAAUGAUAUUGAUAUGGGACCUUUUGGAAUGUGUUCUGGAUUGGAUAAGGAUGAUUCAUGUUAAAUUUCAUGUUCUGUUUUGAAUGUUUGACCCUCUUUUAACCUAGGCUUUGACCUAGUGGUUUGGACUCACUGUUUGGAUUGUGGAUUUCAGGUUAAGAAGCACAUUGCCAUGAUUGAAGUGGUUCACUCAUUUGGAUUGAUUAAUUGGUUGAUGUUGGCUAACCUUAUGUUGUUUUGUAGGUUGAUGCCAAGUUGUUUGUGUUGUGCCUAUUGGCUUGUGCCUUGCACACUGUUGCAUUGCUUGUCUGUCUGAUUGUAUGGAUGACUGUUGUCUGUUUGUUUGUUUGACUGGUAAACUGAUUGGUUUAGAUUUUUUUCAGGUACCUAAGUUGCUUUGAGUUCUUUUGAACUUGCUUUUGCUUUGCUUGGUUGCUUAACCAUUGAGGUAUAACUCUCUGACUUCAUGUAGUCUGGAAGACCUGUCCUGUUAUGUGGGCAGGCACCUGUCUGAAGCCCUCCUUAAGAGGCAAUGCUUGUGUUUGUUUAUCUUUGUGCCAAGCAGGAAAAGUCCUCUUAUGAGGCAAUUGGCANNNNNNNNNNNNNNNNNNNNNNNNNNNNNNNNNNNNNNNNNNNNNNNNNNNNNNNNNNNNNNNNNNNNNNNNNNNNNNNNNNNNNNNNNNNNNNNNNNNNNNNNNNNUUAGAAUUUUUCGUCCUAAGUGCUUUGAGUUCUGAUAUUGCUUUGCUUGCUUGGUGCUAACCAUUGAGUAUAAUUUGACUUCGUGUAGGUCUGGAAGGAGGCACCUGUCUGAAGCCCUCCUUAAGAGGCAAUGCUUGUGUUUGUUUAUCUUUGUGCUAAGCAGGAAAAGUCCUCUUAUGAGGCAAUUGGCAGAUAAAAGAGAUGUGUAAUCCAUCUCCUGCUAUUCAGUGUGUCAUCCACUUUUCUCACACCAUGUGUUGAUGCAUUGUGGAUACUAACCCAAGAUCUUAUAGAGUCAAAUCAUUUGUGGAGAAGAGUUCCAACUUUCUGAACUCCCACACCUUCUAUUGUUUAAAGCUCUCCCCAACCAGGGAUAAGAGCUAUGAGGCACACCCCUCGUCUCCAUUUCAUCUGCUUCACCCUAACUCUCAAUGUUAGGGUUAAGAGCACAAAACACCCGAUUCCAGUUGGCUUGUGUUUUACAGCCUAACCUUGUAUGAGCCCAAUUGUGUGCAUAUAGUGUGUGUGCUUGCUUUUUGUGCUUGUAUGUAUUUGCCUGUGCUGUUUAGGAUAGCUUGCUCCCUGUGCAAGUUAGAUAGAAACCUCAACCUAGGACCAUGGUGGAUUUACAUGAUAACUAUUAGGCUCGAGUCAGGCUCCCUUCUAGUUUGUCACUUCCCAGUCUCUGGUUAGGUUAGAGGUCCCUUUUUCCCUACGUAGGGGAACUACGUCGCCCUGAUCCUCAUACCAGAUGAGGUACGUAGGCAGGAGAUGAGCUGAUCUCUCCGGGCGCCCUUUUUCUUUUUCAACCCCUUUGUGUUUGUUGGAGUCUGACGUAAGUCCAACGAUUGGCAGUUGGUUUCCUGUGUCUUGUCUGCUUGUUGGAGUCUGACGUAAGUCCAGCGAUUGGCAGUUGGUUUCCUGUGUCUUGUCUGCUUGUUGGAGUCUGACGUAAGUCCAGCGAUUGGCAGUUGGUUUCCUGUGUCUUGUCUGUUUGUGUGGAGUCUGACAUAAGUCCAGCGAUUGGUAGUCGGUUUCCUGUUUGUGUUUUGUUUGGCGUGCGUUAGCCGAACUACGUCGACUCUGAUGUCUGUGCCUGACAGACUAUGUAGGCCCAGGAUGCGAUAUCCUGCCGAGUUCCGUUUCUUCCGUCUUUUCUGUGUUUCCUUCCAGCCUUGUGCAAUGUUUGAGCAGUAUCUAGCAACCUUUCUUCUAUUCUUUACGAGCGUGGAUCCCGUCUAGUACGACGGAUGCGUAGGGGUGCUAAUACCUUCCCUUCGCAUAACCGACUCCCGAUCCCAUCUCUCUUUGGUCGCGAGACCAUGUCUUUCCCAGGUUUACUUCGAGCGUUUCCUUUCCCUCUUUUGGGAUAAAUAACGCACGGUGGCGGCUCUGUUGUUUCGUUUUCCCGCCGGUUUUUCGCGUAAUGCGACAANNNNNNNNNNNNNNNNNNNNNNNNNNNNNNNNNNNNNNNNNNNNNNNNNNNNNNNNNNNNNNNNNNNNNNNNNNNNNNNNNNNNNNNNNNNNNNNNNNNNNNNNNNNNNNNNNNNNNNNNNNNNNNNNNNNNNNNNNNNNNNNNNNNNNNNNNNNNNNNNNNNNNNNNNNNNNNNNNNNNNNNNNNNNNNNNNNNNNNNNNNNNNNNNNNNNNNNNNNNNNNNNNNNNNNNNNNNNNNNNNNNNNNNNNNNNNNNNNNNNNNNNNNNNNNNNNNNNNNNNNNNNNNNNNNNNNNNNNNNNNNNNNNNNNNNNNNNNNNNNNNNNNNNNNNNNNNNNNNNNNNNNNNNNNNNNNNNNNNNNNNNNNNNNNNNNNNNNNNNNNNNNNNNNNNNNNNNNNNNNNNNNNNNNNNNNNNNNNNNNNNNNNNNNNNNNNNNNNNNNNNNNNNNNNNNNNNNNNNNNNNNNNNNNNNNNNNNNNNNNNNNNNNNNNNNNNNNNNNNNNNNNNNNNNNNNNNNNNNNNNNNNNNNNNNNNNNNNNNNNNNNNNNNNNNNNNNNNNNNNNNNNNNNNNNNNNNNNNNNNNNNNNNNNNNNNNNNNNNNNNNNNNNNNNNNNNNNNNNNNNNNNNNNNNNNNNNNNNNNNNNNNNNNNNNNNNNNNNNNNNNNNNNNNNNNNNNNNNNNNNNNNNNNNNNNNNNNNNNNNNNNNNNNNNNNNNNNNNNNNNNNNNNNNNNNNNNNNNNNNNNNNNNNNNNNNNNNNNNNNNNNNNNNNNNNNNNNNNNNNNNNNNNNNNNNNNNNNNNNNNNNNNNNNNNNNNNNNNNNNNNNNNNNNNNNNNNNNNNNNNNNNNNNNNNNNNNNNNNNNNNNNNNNNNNNNNNNNNNNNNNNNNNNNNNNNNNNNNNNNNNNNNNNNNNNNNNNNNNNNNNNNNNNNNNNNNNNNNNNNNNNNNNNNNNNNNNNNNNNNNNNNNNNNNNNNNNNNNNNNNNNNNNNNNNNNNNNNNNNNNNNNNNNNNNNNNNNNNNNNNNNNNNNNNNNNNNNNNNNNNNNNNNNNNNNNNNNNNNNNNNNNNNNNNNNNNNNNNNNGACAUGGAAAAGACGACAUUCAUUACACCUUGGGGCACGUUCUGCUAUAAGGUGAUGCCAUUUGGGCUGAAGAAUGCCGGUGCUACCUAUCAGAGGGCUAUGACGACUCUCUUUCAUGACAUGAUGCACAAAGAAAUUGAAGUGUACGUGGAUGAUAUGAUUGCGAAGUCUCAGACAGAAGAGGAGCACUUGGUAAAUUUGCAGAAGUUGUUUGAAAGGCUAAGAAAAUUCAAACUGAGGCUGAAUCCAAACAAGUGUACGUUUGGGGUGAGAUCCGGUAAGCUGUUGGGUUUCAUUGUCAGUGAGAAAGGGAUUGAGGUUGAUCCAGUGAAAGUCAAAGCUAUUCAAGAAAUGCCUGAACCAAGAACGGAAAAGCAGGUUCGUGGGUUUUUAGGGAGAUUGAACUACAUUGCACGGUUCAUAUCUCACCUAACUGCCACGUGUGAACCAAUAUUCAAAUUGUUAAUAAAAGAUCAAGCAAUCAGGUGGAACGAUGAUUGUCAAAAAGCUUUUGAUAAGAUAAAAGAGUAUUUACAGAAACCUCCAAUCCUUAUACCUCCAGUUCCUGGGAGACCUCUGAUAAUGUACCUUUCGGUGACUGAGAACUCGAUGGGGUGUGUAUUGGGACAGCAUGACGAGUCUGGUCGAAAAGAGCAUGCUAUAUACUACCUUAGCAAAAAGUUUACCGACUGUGAAACAAGAUAUUCACUGCUCGAGGAAAACUUGUUGUGCUUUGGCAUGGGCUGCUCGCGCGACUGAGACAGUUAUAUGCUGAACAUACACCUUGUUGAUUUCUGAAGGAUGGAUCCAGUGAAGUACAUCUUUUGAAAAGCCGGCUCUCACCGGGCUUGUUGCUCGUUGGCAGAUAUUAACAGAAUAUGAUAUUACAGUAUACGCCGCCAGAGAGCCAUCAAAGGUAGGUUUUCUGUCAAGACUACCUUCCCGAGCAACCGACUUAGGCUAUCAGCCGAAUGAUGUUUGAAUUCCCUGAUGAAGACAUCAUGUAUCUAAAGAUGAAAGAUUGUGAAGAGCCUCUUGUCGAGGAAGGACCGGAUCCUGAUGACAAGUGGACACUGAUGUUUGAUGGGGCUGUGAAUAUGAAUGGCAACGAUGUUGGGGCAAUACUUAUCAAUCCCAAAGGUGCACACUUACCCUUUUCUGCCAGAUUGACUUUUGAUGUAACCAACAACGAGGCUGAGUAUGAGGCUUGUAUCAUGGGUAUUGAAGAAGCCAUCGAUUUAAAGAUCAAAACUCUGGACAUUUAUGGAGAUUCCGCUCUAGUGAUUAACCAAGUCAAUGGAGAUUGGAAUACUCAUCAUCCGCAUUUGAUUCCUUAUCGAGAUUACACCAGAAGGAUUUUGACUUUCUUCAAGACAGUGAAGUUGUAUCAUGUCCCCCGAGAUGAAAAUCAGAUGGCUGAUGCCUUGGCUACUUUGUCUUCUAUGAUCAAAGUUCAUUGGUGGAAUCACGUGCCACAUGUUGCUGUGAAUCGACUCGAGAGGCCUGCGUAUGUGUUUGCAGCCGAGUCUGUUGUGGAUGAGAAGCCGUGGUACUUUGACAUUGAGAAUUUCCUCAAGAGCCAGGAGUAUCCUGAAGGAGCGUCAAGGAAUGACAAGAAAACCCUGAGAAGGCUAGCUGAAAGCUUUUAUUUGAAUCAGGAUGAUGUGCUGUACAAGAGGAACUUUGACAUGGUUCUGCUCAGAUGCGUGGAUAGACACGAAGCAGACAUGUUGAUGCAGGAAGUACAUGAAGGAUCGUUCGGUACCCAUGCUGGUGGUCAUGCAAUGGCCAAGAAGUUGUUGAGAGCCGGUUAUUACUGGAUGACUAUGGAAUCCGAUUGUUUCAAAUACGCUCGGAAGUGCCAUAAAUGUCAGAUCUAUGCAGAUAAGGUGCAUGUACCGCCAAGCCCUCUGAAUGUUAUGAAUUCGCCUUGGCCAUUUGCGAUGUGGGGCAUCGAUAUGAUUGGGAAGAUUGAACCUACUGCUUCUAAUGGACAUCACUUCAUCCUGGUUGCGAUUGACUACUUCACAAAGUGGGUGGAAGCAGCUUCCUAUGCCAGUGUUACCAAGCAAGUGGUUUCCUGAUUCAUUAAGAAAGAGAUUAUCUGUCGUUAUGGGGUUCCCGAGAGGAUCAUUACUGAUAAUGGUUCGAAUCUUAAUAACAAGAUGAUGAAGGAGCUUUGUAGAGAUUUCAAGAUCGAACAUCACAACUCUUCUCCUUACAGACCAAAGACGAAUGGUGCUGUAGAGGCGGCAAAAAAGAAUAUUAAGAAGAUUCUGCAGAAGAUGGUCGUGACGUACAAGGAUUGGCAUGAGAUGUUGCCUUUCGCUUUGCAUGGAUACCGUACCUCAGUACGUACGUAGACCGGGGCAACCCCUUACUCCCUGGUGUAUGGUAUGGAGGCAGUCCUACCUGUUGAAGUGGAGAUUCCUUCUCUGAGAGUCCUGUUGGAUGUCAAACUAGACGAAGCUGAGUGGAUUCGAACAAGGUUUAAUGAGUUGAGCCUUAUCGAAGAGAGGCGGUUAGCAGCUAUGUGCCAUGGGCAAUUGUAUCAGAGAAGGAUGAAGAAAGCCUUUGAUCAGAAAGUGCGUCCUCGAAGCUAUCAGACAAGUGAUUUGGUUUUGAAGAGGAUCCUUCCUCCCGGUACAGAUAACAGGGGCAAAUGGACUCCGAAUUAUGAAGGUACAUAUGUUGUUAAAAAGGUUUUCUCUGGUGGAGCCUUGAUGCUUACAACUAUGGACGGUGAAGAUUUUCCGUCCCCUGUUAACUCAGAUGUAGUCAAAAAAUACUUCGCAUAAAUUGACCCGCUGGACGAAAAGAAUAAAAAUGCUUACAACUAUGGACGGUGAAGAUUUUCCGUCCCCUGUUAACUCAGAUGUAGUCAAAAAAUACUUCGCAUAAAUUGACCCGCUGGACGAAAAGAAUAAAAUAGUCCAGGCAAAAAAGGGCAUCCCGGCGAGCCAAGAAAAAAAGGAAAAGGUUCGGGCAAAAGUUAGGGAUAAAGAAUAAAAAGAAUAUGUACACCCGGUAAGUCGAAAACCCGCAAGGGCGACUUAGGCAAAAAUGGGUAUCCCAGUGGAUUGAAAACCCGAAAGGGCGAUCCAGGCAAAAGAGGGAUUAAGGCGAAGACUACAGUCUGAGUUAUCUGUACUUCAUCGUGCUUCAGGGUCUACCAUCUCGAAGGAUAUGAUCGGUCCAAUCAUUCUUCUCAGAAAGCAAAGGAUUUGGGAGGAAUUUGAUGAUCUGUGAGUCAUAACAGAAUUGGGAAAUAGUGGAUGCUGUGUUCACAUUGCCAUUAGGAUAGAUCUUUCCUUUUGUGUGCAAUUACCUCUUUCUAGGAAUUGCUUCCUGAUGUAUUUGCCUUUAUAGGCUCAUUCUCAAUCAAUAAAAGUCGUUAUUCAGAUAAAUUGCUCUCUUGUUUUUAUUUUACUGUUUUGUUUGCAAAAACGUCCGAAUUUUUGAUAAACAUUGCAUAUAAAAAACAUGAAGGCUAGACAAAACGUGCCAGAAGAAAGAUUAAAACAUUUGAAAAUAUUUUAAUGUAUUGAGGUAAGCGUGGGUGUAUCUUGUCCAUACAAUCCCCUGGGGCAUGUAUGCCUUGCUGUUUUGCAGGUUAUUACCUUUGAUUCCUGGCUGAAGCAGAUAAGCCACGGUUUGUUCAGAGAUGUUUCAACAUUGUCCGGUGGUGUGAGAAGUUGGGUUGUCUAAAGCAAGUUCAGGACUUGUCCCCCCAGCGUAUUCGAGAUCAGGAAUUCCUCAGCAGAAUUGAGGACGUUUCCCCAGCAAGUCUGAAAACCAUUAGAGUUGUUCUUCCCCGGCAAAGGCGUUUGUGGUUAGUAUGUCCCUCAGCAGCAGGUUCAAAGGCUACCCUAUUCCCAGCUAGUCUGAAGACUGUUAGUCCCCACUGGGUCUGAAGGUUGCCGUUCACCAGUAGUGGUGCCUGUGGGUAAUUUGUUCUUCAACAGUCGGGUAUGAAGUACUGUAAUCCUCAGCAGGGUCGUGAACGCCUUUCCCCAGCAGGGUUGUGAAUGUUUGCCCCAGCAAGUCACUUCACCCAUCAGAAAGGUCGCCUCCAAAGUAUUGAUGGUUUUCCCCCAGCGAAGUCCCCAAGCGGAUCAGGUUCGGUGAAAAUUAUCCCCAGUAGAGUUAUUCGUGCCCGUGGAUUGGCAGUUAUUCUCAGUGGAUGUGAACAUUGUUUGUUUCCCCUAGCGGAGUAUCCAAGUGGAUUGGAUUCAGUGAAAGCUGUCCCCGGUGGGAUUUAUCCUUUCUCCAGCAGCAAUGUUAUUCCCCAGCAUGUUUGAGAGGUUGGUGUGUUCCCCAGACAGGGUCUCCCCAGUUGACUUGGUUUCUCUGCCGUCCCCAGGGUAUCAGAUCAGCAAAGCACCCCCAGCAGUGCAUCUCCCCACAGAGUUGGAGGAUCAAAUCAGAUUUGUAUGCUCAGCAGAGCAAUCAUCCGCUCCCUAGCAUGAGUUUUCUUCAUUUGCAUCUUGCAUGUAGUAAUCAUUGCAUCCUCAAAUCGCGUAGCAUUUCCAUUCAAUAUGGAGCAUUACGCCAUAGAAAAAUUCAAACAUAUGCAUACAUGUGUCAAACCUAAAAAUCAUUGCAUCCUCAAAUCGCGUAGCAUUUCCAUUCAAUAUGGAGCAUUACGCCAUAGAAAAAUUCAAACAUAUGCAUACAUGUGUCAAACCUAAUUGGACCAUAUCCCCAGCAGAGACGGAUCAUCGUUCAACAAUCCGCAUGGCAUAUUUGCAGCGGUGGCUCCUGACAGCAUUCAGGAUUGGUAAUCCCCAGAGAGGUUUACUUCCUCACCCGCAGGUGAGAGGAAAGCUUGACUCCCUAGUGUAGUCCCUGGCAAGUGUGUAGCCUUGUCCUGACAUAUGUAGAUGUCAUCCUUGCGAUACCAGUAGGUGUCGUGUUGAUCCCCGUGGGGGUCUCCUUUCUUCUGGUGUCAGUAGACAUCAUCUUUCGAUGUCCGUAACAUCAAGUCUUCCCAUUCAUCAUCUUUCGAUGUCUAGUCGUGGUUUCUUUCUCCCAUUCAUCCGUUGAUGUCUGGUUGAGUCUUUUCCUAUUCGUCCGUUGGCGUCUAGUCGUGGUUUCUUUCUCCCAUUCAUCCGUUGAUGUCUGGUUGAGUCCUUCCUAUUCGUCCGUUGGCGUCUAGUCGUGGUUUCUCUUUUCCUAUUCGUCCGUUGGCGUCUAGUCGUGGUUUCUUUCUCCCAUUCAUCCGUUGAUGUCUGGUUGAGUCCAAGGAUAAGCAGGCAACCGCAGAUCAGCACCAAAGAUUCUCCCAUUCAUCCGUUGAUGUCUGGUUGAGUCCUUCCUAUUCGUCCGUUGGCGUCUAGUCGUGGUUUCUCUUCCUAUUCAUCGUCUUUCGAUGUCUAGUCGUGGUUUCUUUCUCCCAUUCAUCCGUUGAUGUCUGGUUGAGUCUUUCCUAUUCGUCCGUUGGCGUCUAGUCGUGGUUCCUUUCUCCCAUUCAUCCAUUGAUGUCUGGUUGAGUCUUUCCUAUUCGUCUGUUGGCGUCUAGUCGUGGUUUCUUUCUCCCAUUCAUCCAUUGAUGUCUGGUCGAGUGUUCCCAGUCAUCCGUUGAUGUCUGGUCACCCCUCCGUUGGUGUCGGUAAACGUCGAGUUUUUCCCAUUCAUCCGUUGAUGUCUGGUCGAGUCUUCCCAGUCAUCCGUUGAUGUCUGGUCACCCCUCCGUUGGUGUCGGUAAACGUCGAGUUUUUCCCAUUCGUCCGUGGACGUCUGGUUGAGUGUCUUUUUCCAGUCAUCCGUUGAUGUCUGGUCACCCCUCCGUUGGUGUCGCUAAACGUCGAGUUUUUCCCAUUCGUCCGUUGGCGUCUGGUUGUAUAUCCUUUUUCCAGUCAUCGGUAAAUGUCUGGUCGUCCUUUUGUUGGUGUCGGUAAACAUCAUCUUUCGAUGUCUGGUCGAGUUAUUCCUAUUCGUCGUCUUUCGAUGUAUAGUCGUGGUUUCUCUUUUCCUAUUCUUCCGUUGGCGUCUAAUCGUGGCUUUUUUAUUCCCAUUUAUUGUCUUUCGAUGUGUGGUCGUGGUUCCUUUUUCCGAUAAAAAUCAAAUCCCCAGUAGAGUCGUCAGUAGACGUCUUGUCUGGUCCAGUGAUAAAUAUCAGAUCCCAGUGGAAUUGCCAUUGGUGAACAUUCUUUUCUUGGAUCCCCGCAGAGUGCAAAUUUCUACGGUUCCUUUGGUAUUCAAUCCCUGUUUACCUUGAAGGUCUGGCAGCCGUUGCUCUCAUUCGUUCAGGUUCCUAGUUGAUUGAAUAGGGGCAGCUGUAGCACCUCAAAUUUGCACCCCCCAUUCAUGCAUUCAUUUCAUUUUUAGCAGAUAUUCUAGCCAGAAGAGAAGACAAGCCGACAAGAAAUACCCCAGAGCCUGUGGGGGCAGAGCGUUUGUGUUUUUUUGGAUUUUUUGGAGUGAGAGGAGACAGUGGGUUCUGUCGAACGUGGUUGACCCUGCACACAAGUGAGAUAUUAGAGACCACGUAGUAUUUCCCUUAAGAAGUCACAAGAGUAAAUGGAAAUGGGACAGAUAGGUGCAUACAGAAGAAUUGGGCUUCCUCAAGACUUGAGCAAUGGGGCGCUCAUCAUCAUUAGAGGAUUUCUUAGGAGCAGCCCGCAAGAAGGGAGAGGAUGGCUAAGAAUAAAAGACAAAAAGCCAAAGGAAAUAGCAACUCAGCCAGAGUCGAACCUGAGCCUCCUGUGUCGAAGGAGUGGGUUGGUUAGC
rnacentral:lncRNA from 1 species